AACUUCCUGACAAGCAUAGACCAUCUUCCGUGGAAAAAUCUCCAAUAUCUUACCCUUGAUUCGAACCUACUUCAAGGAUCACUUCCAGAUCUACCACCUCACAUGGUACAAUUUUCAAUUUCCAGCAAUAGUUUGACCGGAGAGAUUCCUUCAUCAUUUUGUAAUUUGAAUUCCAUUCAAUCUUUUGACGUAUCCAACAAUAGCUUGAGUGGACAAAUUCCACAGUGUCUUGGAAACUCUACACUUGAAACUGUGGAUCUCCGAAUGAACAACUUCCAAGGUACCAUCCCACAGACAUAUGCAAAGGGCUGCAACUUGACUUAUCUUCGGCUGAGUGGCAAUCACUUGGAGGGACCAUUACCACCAUCUUUGAUUAACUGUGUCAAUUUGCAAUUUCUUGAUGUUGGGAAUAACAGCUUGAGCGGCCCAAUUCCAGAAUAUCUUGGAAACUCAACACUUGAAGUCUUGGAUAUGAGAAUGAACAAGUUCAACGGCAGCCUCCCUCAAACAUUUGGAAAAAGUUGUGUUUUGGAAAGUCUUAAACUUAAUGGCAAUCGGUUGAAAGGACCAUUGCCUCCAUCUUUGGUUAAUUGUCAGUAUUUGGAAGUUUUAGAUGUUGGGAAUAAUCAGAUUGACGACACCUUUCCCUACUGGUUAGACGUUCUUCUUGAAUUGCAAGUUCUUAUAUUGCGUUCUAAUAGAUUUUGGGGUCCUAUUGGUGAUACCAAAACAAGAGUUCCCUUUCCCAAGUUGCGAAUAAUUGAUUGCUCUCACAAUCAACUCAUCGGUGUUUUGCCUCUAUGGUAUUUGGAUAGUUUUAAAGCCAUGAUGCAUGGGAAUAACAAUACUGUUGAAGUCGAUUAUAUGAGGUUGCAGGAUUCUUCUAAUUACUAUGAGUCAAUAGUUCUGACUAUGAAAGGCAUUGACUUACAAAUGGAGAGGAUUCUAACAACUUUUGCAACUAUUGAUUUGUCCAGCAAUAGAUUUCAAGGGAAAAUUCCAGAAGUAGUGGGAAAGUUGAAUUCACUCAAAAGUCUCAACAUUUCUCACAACAACCUGACUGGUGGUAUUCCUUCAUCGCUGAGAAAUCUGACAGAGCUUGAAUCUCUAGACCUCUCUUCAAACAAGCUUGCUGGACGUAUCCCAACGCAACUGGCGGAUCUGAAUUAUCUUUCGGUGUUGAAUCUUUCGAACAACCAGCUCAACGGACCCAUACCACUAGGACCCCAAUUUAAUACUUUUGGAAAUGAUUCCUAUUCUGGUAACUCAGGGUUGUGUGGAUUCCCAUUAUCAGAGAGCUGCAGCGUUGAUGAGGCACCAGAACCAACAACACCAUCAAGAUUUCUCGAAGGAGAUUAUGCUUCUAGGUGGUUUGAUUGGAAGUUUGCUAAGUUGGGUUACGCAUCUGGAGUGGUGAUCGGCUUGUCCAUCGGAUACAUGGCAUUUGUGACUGGAAGGCCACAAUGGUUUGUAAGAAUGAUCGAAAGGAAGAAAUCCAGGAAGCUGAGAAGGGUGAUCAGACGAGGCAGAGCAAGUAGAAGAAGUUUGUAGAUGCAUCUCUAAAGGCCCAUGUGAGUAAUUAUUAGUUUGUCUUAUAGAAUUAUAAGCUGGUUUCUACUGUUCUUUGAGUAGAUGGCAUGCUGAUAUUAUCGUAAUCUAACAGUUGACUUACAAAAACCACAAUACUAAUUAAUUUCGGAUUAUGUUUAUUAUCAACAUCUAUAGUGAGAAAGAAAAUUUUAACUGAAUUAUUGAUGUGGUUGUUUUCUUCAGGAAUUAUAAACUCCUGGAAGCUAGCAGUGGAAGUCAAAUAAUCCUCCAGGUACUGAAAUUGUUUUUACCUAAAUUUCAAUUUCAUGAAAUCAUUUUUACUUUUAUUGUCAUUUCAUUAGAACAUGUUAUCACGGACGUAUUUCUUGAUGGUAAAAAGAUUUGAAGUAAUAUUGUUGCAGGAAAUCAUGUGGGGGGUAACUUUGGUUUGUUUUAUCUCGGAACACGUAUUUCAAAUUUGGGCGUAGAACGUACUAUAUCAAAGUUUGAGAGCAGAAAACAUUCUUAUUAAGUGGGUGCAUUGCUCUUCUUGGAGAAAAUGUAUUAAAUGAAAUCCCACACAUCUGCCAAUGGGCUUGUUCAGCGUUGACAGCACUCAUGCUCUCAAAUCUUGAGAGCAAUACGUCGGAGGGUUGAAAUUGAGAUGUGUGAUGAUAAAUUUAAUUUAAAGUAAUUUUCGUAGAUCUUUUAUUGUAAUAUAUGUAUCUGUAUUUCAAAAGGAAGAAAUCACCUGCAUCCAAAUUUAAUUAAGAAAAAUCUGCACUUUUUCAUAUAUCAACUUUUUUCAUUUUGCAGAAAAAAAAUAAUUAUGCGUAAAUGAAACCAAACGGCCAUUAAAUUAAAUGAGGUUUUCAUAGCACUGCCAAGAUUAGGAUCUUCCAUACUUCAUAGCACUCCACGUACGGUGCGGCCCAUGAUUCCACUUAUAACAAGUUCUCAAGAUUAGGAUCUUGUUUACUCCUCAAACUUCCAACAUUCUCCAUGGAUCUUCUCCAUCAGUAGAUUUGAUGUUUCAUGUCAUCAAGUGAUGUGAAAUUGUUUGCUUUUAUUGUCGUGACAUGGCUGCACUUGAGAACGAAACAGUUGAUAAUGAGUAAUAAUGUUUGGAAUGACGCCGCAGGAAAUAAAGUAGGGAGAGCUUUCAAAUUAUGUACUUUCUUUUCUAUUAUUUUUUCUGUUAUUUAGUUGCUUUUUUAAAUAUUUCUUUUAAAUUCAAGGUUACGCAAAUUAAGAAUGAAAUUAAAAACAGUGGGAAAAAAAAUUAAUGUCCAAUUCUGUUGCGAAAUUAAAUUUUUGUUGAUUGAUAAAUUCUCUUCUCUUCCAGUUAGGGAUGGCAAAAUCCGGGUCCGGGUCCGGGUUUAGCCUUUCCGGUUCCGGACCCGGAUGGUAAUUUGAAAAUACCGGACCCGGAUAUAAACCCGGAUAUUUAUACUCCGGGUCCGGUCCGGGUUCAACCCGGAAAAAUCCGGGUUCCCGGAUUCCGGAUUUAGAACCCGGAUGCUUGUUAAAGAAAAACGAUUUUCUCUCUCCUCUGCUAUAAAUUCCUCCAAACAUCUUUAACCUAUUACCAACAACAAUGGAAAAUAAUGCAAAAUCAAAUAACUAAAAAUAAAUUCAAAGGCAAUAGAGCAUAUACAAAAUUCAAUUUUCAAACAUAAUGAUGACAAAUUUGGCGAUGAUGAUGACAAAGUGGGCUUUGUGGGGUUAAGCUAAGAAAAGCCGAAAAUGGGAGAAAUGAGCUUUGGUCUUCAAAAUCAUGUAUGCUUUUCAAACCAUUGCUCUCAUCUCCACCCUUGCUUUCUCCUUCCUUUGCUGCAGAUGCACUUCUAAUCUCCUUUUCUUCUUCCUUUGCUGUUUGGUUUUUUAUUUUGUAUUCUUUAAUUAAUUUUUUAUUCUUUCUUCAUCAAUCUUCUUCGCCUCGGAUGAUGAUGAACAUGAACACAACAAAGUAGCGAAGUAAUGGUGAGUGGCGACGAUGAUUUGAUGAAGAGAAGGGCUGAACGAAGAGAAAAUGGUUUGGUUUGAUGAUGAUUUGAUGAAGAGAAGGGAGAGAGUGGAAAUGUUUGGCAGCGGCAGCGAAUUAGGGCAAGACUAAUUUUUUUUUUCAAUUUAUAUUAAAUAAAGAUGUCCGGGUCCGGGUUCCGGAUUUACGGGUUCACCCAAACCCGGAACCGGACCCGGAUAGGUCCGGGUUGGUAAAAUUCAAUCCGGAUUCCGGAUUUAAUUUAUUCCGGUACGGGUUGAACCCGGACCGGAUUUUCCGGGUUCAUCCGGGUCCGAUCCAGGUCCGGGUUAAAUUGCCAUCCCUACUUCCAGUCAACUCAUGGCAGCUUCAAUUGAGCAAGCUUACAAAUUCAGCAUAUAUAAUCCAUAAUUAUGUAGAUUACACAUUUUAAUUUGUAGUAAAAUAAUUAAUCAAAUUUAUUCUUAAUCAGGUAUUUAUUUUUCCUAAUCAAAUUUAUCAGAAAACAAUGACCUUGGGAUUUGGUUCUACAAUAAAUGUAACUUAUGUAAUAUGAUCAUAGCAUUAGGAUUUGGUUAUUGUAACUUAUCCGAUGUGGUCUAAUUGGGUUUUGUAGAAGGUUUUGAGAGAAAAUUAAGAGAAAAUAUGAUGCUAACUUUUAAGUAUCUACUUGGAAUAUAUUAAAAAAUUUCGAAUUUUGGUAUCGAUCAACAUUCAAUUUUCUACAAAUGCUGUAUGUGUCAUUUGUUUUUUAUGAUCGUAUAUGUUCCAUAUUACAACAAUAAAAUUGGUAUGCUAGAUGACAAAUAUGAUCAUGAAAUAAAAUUAUAAUAUUAGUAGUUCAAAUAAAAUUAGGUGUAAUUGUUAUUUUAGGAUUGUAAUUUUAUUUUUUAUUAAUCGAAAUUAUUAUUAUUAUUAUUAUUAGGCUGCGGGCCGUGCUGGACUCUUAUAAAAAAAAGGUGGGCACGACCCACCAAUUUGGUGGGCCAUGCCGUGCCGGCCCACGGAUUUUAGUGGGCUGAUGGUUGAUGCUGGCACGGCCCGUUGGCCAUCAUUAAGUACGUUGGACUGAGAAUUUUAAGCAUGUGGUCCUUAAAAUCGCGUCCUUCUCUAUAUGCAACGAUGGGAGAUAUCAAAUAAUCCUGACUCAAUUAAUUGCAGCAAUAAUGAUGUAGGAGACGAUGUGGGCUUAAUUUGGGUGUACAUCUUCGGUUUUGUAAGUUGAAUUUGAAUGUGUAAUAUUACUGUUCUGAAAAUAAGAAAAUCGAUUGGGUGUAACAAGAAAAUGGAUUGAAUAAUUGAAAUAACUUAGGUCCAAAAUCUCUGACCUUAGAUGAUCCUUGUUCAAAUGGCCCACUACGCGCCACGUCAACAUGUGGAAACUCAUCCACAUCACCAGCCUCAAUAUUCUCGCCACGUCAUCACUCAACAGUUUAUCACUGACGAUAAUUUGGAUAGGAAAAACAUUUGAAGUGAGAGCCUUCACUCUUCACUGAGAAACCAAAAUGGCGCGAGCUUUGCUUCAUUUGAAUAGCACGGCCACGGGCAUAAUGGCCAGGGCUACAAGUGCUACUACAGAGACAGUUCUUGACAGAGCUCAGUUUCAAAUGAAGAACCAAAACGGCCGCGUUUUGGUACUUGGAGGUACGGGUCGGGUCGGUGGAUCCACUGCUGUUGCUCUCUACAGCAGGAAAGGAGCUGCAACUGGAUGCAAAUGCUGCAGAGGAGUCAUCUGUUGACCCAGCUGACAAUUCUAAUUACUCAGAGACUGAAUCAGAAUCUGAAACAGAUGAAGGCGAAGAAAAUUCAGAUGAAGAAAAGGAUUCUUCACCUGAAACUGAUACAAAGGAUUCUUCACCUGAAAAUUCAGAUGAAGAAAAUUCAGAUGAAUAAAGUCCCUAAAGCUGUGAAGAAGAGAAAGAAAAAAUUGGCCAAAGCUCACAAGACUAGGUAGGUGUACUGGAAAAACAAUUUUGCAGCUUCUACCAUUCAAUUUGUUCUCUGGAGGACAAAAAAUUUUGAUAGCUCUACUACAGUCUCUGUUUAUUUAUCUUAUUCUGUUAUGUUCAAUAUAGAGAUGUAAGGAUAUGAAUUGAUAAAUAUUUAUUUGUAUAGUCGCUGUGUUGUACAUCUUGUGAACCUUUUCAAAAUCUGCUGCCGUUUUGAGGCUGCCUCUUUACUGUUUCCUUUACCUUUUUUUUCCUUCAAGUUUAAUUUUUUUUAUUGAUUUAUAAUUAUGAAUGAAAAAAAAAAAUGAAUUGAGGGAACUAAAGAAAAUAAAUUUCUUUUUUUUUAAGUAAUGUCGCUUCUUAUGGUUUUAAGGCGAAGAAAAAUGUGCCUAAAUUUAUUUUAAAAAAAAAAAGCGAUUGCUUCUGGGCAUGGAAGGCGAGCUUUUAAAGAACGGUCUUUUCUUGAAAAUAAUUGAGCAAUCGAAACGGCGUCGUUAGUCUGCUCGAACUGAGUGGACCAAACGGUGGCGUCUCAUAUAUUUUCUGUAAGUUCGAAAGACGACAAAAUCCAAAACGGCCGUGUUUUUUUAUUUUUUAUUUCCUAAAAUCAUUAAUUUUAAAAGCUAAUUAAAAUUAUUUUAAAAAGGGAUAUUAUUAUUUUACUACUAAAGUUUUACUGACAUAUCAUGUCAGUACUAAGGUUUGCCGAAAAGUACAUUUUACUAUUAAAGUUUUACGCCGUUAUCAAUUCACUACCAUUUCGUUAACAACGUUAAAAAUUUGCUGAUGUCAUAAGGGCAUCAAAGACAUUUCUAGCUGUAAGAGUAAAAUUGUCUAUUAAUUUGAUAGAUAAAUUAUUAUUUUACUACCAAAAUUUUAGGGGAAUUAUCAUUUUACUACCAAACUCUUGAGGAUAAAAUCGACUUUUAACUCAAUUUUCGUUAAACAUUAACUUUUUCUUAAUGGAAUGGUAGUGAAUUGAUAACGGCGCAAAAUUUUGGUAGUAAAAUGAGCUUUUCGGCAAACUUUGGUACUGACAUGAUAUGUCAGUAAAACUUUAGUAGUAAAAUGAUAAUUUCCCUUUAAAAAAAUUUGAAAAAACAAUUGCAGCUUAGUCCGUCGCAUGAACCUUCGUCACUUCACUUCAGUGAAGCAAAUUAUCGAACACAACACGAACAUGAUUACAGAACUGCAGCGAAAACCGAAAAUCUAAAUUGGCCAUCCUCUGUUCCCUAAUUUUUCUUCUCAUACCUCCAAAAGAGAUCUUACCAUCCAUCAAUGGUCAGAACUUAACCAAGACCUUGUAGUCGAAAUCGCUGAGCAGAUAAAAUUCUACCAAGACUUUGUGGCCUUUCAUUGGGUUUGCACUUCUUGGCGAUCAGCGACAAAUAUCAAGAAUUUUAUAUACAAGUCUGAUCAAAUGCCUCGCCUGCGCCGUUUUUUCAAUCCGUUAAAUGCAAUGACUCGUCAAUUUUGCUUACCAGAAGCAGCGGUAGCAGAUGACAAUAAGAGAUGCCUGUCUUCAAAAGGUUGGCUUCUAAGCAUGACUCGAGAUUUGAGCUUAACUCUUGUGCAUCCUUUUUCACGUGCUGAGAUUGAACUUCCGAAUGUAAAGGCGUUUGAAGAUUGGUACGUUAAUCUUUUUACAAUUGUUUGUUUAUUACAUUUUUCAUUUUUAAUUUUAUAAAAUUAAAAUUUUUUAAAAUUGUGUUGGAUUAAAUGGAUAUUCAUUGGGUAAAAUUAAUUAUCCAUAUCUAUCCAUAUCCAACUGAAUAUAAUUUUAAAAAUAUCCAUUUUAAGAUCCAAAAAAUUUUAGAUGGGUAUUAUGGAUAUUGAGCGAUCCAAUUGCCAUCCCUAGCUGCCAAACUUGCCUUGCUCUAUUUCCAUAUCUUUAGAAUGUUUCACCACUUAUAUUUUAUUGGUUUAAAAAUGAUUCGAAAAAUUAUUGAUGUGGGAAAUGGCAUGGGCUGACUUUGAUUUAGUGCAUCUCUGGGCUAUGAAAUGUUGAAUUUGGUUAACGUACAAAUUGUUCUUUGUAUGCGCCAUGGGGAAAAUCAAAUAAGCUUGACUCUUUAUCUGAAAAAAUAAUAUUUAUAGGCUAACGUCAAUGCCUUCUUGCAUAUAUAUACUUCAAUGCCUUCUUGCAUAUAAUUGUAAGAUUUGGGCAUUUAAAUUCCAAUGACUUCUUGCAUUAAAAGUGGGACACAUUGUUUUGGAUUAAAACGAAUUUGCCAGUUUAACACAUUGUUUUCUUGUACUAAUCAAAUAACUUUAUUUGAUUCGCUAUUCAAUCAUAAGGGAGGAAUGUGUCAUAACAUAUAAAUGGAUACCGUCUAUUCCUCUACCUUCUAUAAAACAAUAAUAACACCAACUCGAGUCUAGGCGGCUGCCACAUCACCAUAUACGACAGACAAUUAACAUUUCUCUUAUCUAUAUAUCGUUUGAGCUUUAAUUUGGACUGGUUAGUGGAAAUUGAAUAAUCAAAGUCUACUAAAGACGUCAAGAAAGGAAACGAGUAAAAUACAAACAUAGUCUAUCAAUGUUUAAUAGAAAUCCUCCGCAUCUGCCAAUAGGCUCGUAGCCCGUUGACAGCACUCAUGCUCUCAAAUCUUGAGAGCAAUUAAUUUGUGGGACUCACUUUUUUCUGUCAGUAUAAUUAGAUAUGGGUAGAUUUUUUCUACUAAAUAAAUAGAGCAUAUAUCCCUAACAAAUUUACGAAAUUAUCCGUCUGACUUUUAGGAAAUUAUACCAUUUUAGGACCCAAAAUUUCAUUUGAAUUUAUUUUAAAUUACAGCCCUGAGGAAACUUCUAAGAUUUGUACUUUUAUUUUCAUAACAAAUUCUUAACCUAUUUCCGUUUGUUGCGUUUUUAAUUAAUUUCAGUUUACACCUUAAUCUUCUCUGAAUGUCUUUUUAUUUUUAUUUUUUUCAGCUUAGGAGAACGCCUACAUAAUAGAAGCUACAUACCAUUACAAAAUUAAUUCAAACCUUAAUGUGGAAUGCUCAAUGUUGACUUAGGAAAAGGGUUUAAGAUCCAUAUUGAGUAUUGAUCAAGCAAUUUCAGCAUAGAGAUUACACACAUAUAUAGUAAACAAUUAAGAGUAAAUGGAAGGUCUAGCAAAUAAUUGGAAUUUUACAAAACUAGAGACAAAUGUACCAAUAAACGAGACUCCAGAAUAAGAAGUGUAUAAUCGAAUUAGAAAAGAUAAUAAAGAAGUGUACAAAUUAGAAAUAAUUAACCCAAGUAUAACAACAAAAACACAAAAUUUAGUUUAUAGUUUAGAAGAUAGAGGUGAAGACUUGGUGCUCUGACUCUAAAGGUGUUCUAUUUAAUUAGAUUCCCCUCUAGUGGUGUGAUUAAAAGAGAUGGAUAAAAAAAGUUAUUUUAACUUAUGAGGUAGACUUGACUAAAGUGUUCAUUAAUGACAUGACGUUGAGAAAGAAAGACUUAUUCUAUGUGUAACUCUUAAUUUGGGCAAUCGUCAAUAACUUUCAACUUUUUUUAUUCCUCCCACGGGUUUCAAUGUUUCAUUAUCAUAGUUUUGGAAAAAAAGUUGAAGUUGUUUGGAGUUUUGCAAAAUUGGCCACAAAUUCAUGCACCAACUAGAUUCCGGAACAAUAUAAUGAGGCUCAGUAUAACAAAAGGCUUGGUGCAUGCUCUAAAAGUCCAAAUGAAUUAUAACUAAUUACACAUAUUAAUUUGUAGUAAACUAAUUAAGAAGUAAAUGGAUGGUCUAACAACCUACUUCACUGAUCGAAGCAGAAUCAAAACAGAGGAGGGAAAAUGGAUUGAGCUUGUGUAUACGACAAAUUAAGUCUACUUUUUACAUACAUUAAUUGGAUUUAGCUUCAGCUUUGGUACUGGUUUGUGAAAAUUGGAAAAACUGGAAAAUGCUCCUUUUAAAGAAUCAAAGUCUACUUUAAACAAUAAUCUCCAUCAACAUUUAAUGCUUGUUAUUGGCUUUCAACCAGCGGCCGCUUUCAGAAAGGAAGACUUCAAUUGUCCCCAAGGGUCGAAAAGUAAAUAUAUAAAUGGUUAUUAAUUGGAUACAGCUUCAGCUUUUGGACUGGUUUGUGGAAAUUGAAAAAAUUUGAAAAGUGUUCCUCUUGAAGAAUCAAAGUCUACUUUAUACGUAAAGAAAGGGGAUCUCAGUAAAGAUACAUUUUGGAGAACAUACAACUGAAAUCAUUUUUACCUAAUAACCUAGCAAAAAGCUACUACAUCUCACAACGUUGACCUCUGGGCUAAUCAAGCAUUUGACUUUCCUAAUACAAUUUAUCACAAAACGAUUAUCCCUUUUCAUAUUUUAAGUUCAGUAAUAAGAAAGAGGAGGCACCUUCCAAAUGUAUGCACCUUUUUUAGUUUUAUCCCACAAAACUUUAUCACAAAACAAUGGCCUUUUCAUAUUUUCAGUUAUUGCUCAAUCCCUUCACAAAAUAUUAUGCACAUUUACAAGGGAUAGAAGAUUUUGGUUUGGCUUUGAUUUUGAUAUGACUAUAAAUACUAUUGAAAUUACAAACUCUAGAGGCUCACGAAAUAAAUAUUGUAAAUUUAAGGGGGCUAAAUCAUAAGCUUUACAAAUAAGUGGAUUCAAUUUUAGUUUGUACCUUUAUCAGCGAAUCCAAUUUUCAAACCAAAAUGUAGUUUUAAUUUUUUGAUUAAAUUUCUUUUGAAAAUGCUCAACUAAAUACUAUUUAUGGUUACAUGUUAGUUUGAAUGAACACGUUCAUAGAUGAUUGUGUAAGCAAUUUAUUUGGUUAAUUAACAGUUGUACUCUUUAAAAAUGCGAAUUACUAAUUUUAAAAAAUUUCAGUGGUUAGUGUAUUAAAAGUGUGUUUGGAGCAUAGCAAUGCAUGUUAUUGUAAUACUAUUCACAUUAAUUUAUUACUAACCCAUGAUUGGUAAUUUAGAAACUACAUUGUGGUGCAUACGCAUCAUAAUGCGCCAACUUUUGCCUCAAUUGAGGCAUUAAAUAUAUUUUAAUUAUAAUAAAUUAAAUAUAAAAUAAGUUAUAUUAUAAUAUUUUUAUUCAAUAGCACAAUAUCACAUUAUAUUUAUACAUUAGUAGUUAAUAUAAAAUAAUAAUUUAAUAACUAAUUUUAUAUAAUUAACAAUAAAAUAAUAAUAAAUUUAAAUAAUAUUAAUUUAAUAUUAAUACAAAAUUAAUAAAGUACAAUCCAACACUAAAUAUUAUACAAUAUUAUUAUAAUCCAAUGCUAAUUCAAUACUGCAUAAAGUGAUAUACUUGCAUUAAAUGACAUAAUACGGUGUAAGUAAAGAGUAAUGGAUUUUAGUUGGCAAUAACGUAUGCCCAUUACUAUAAAGCAAUGGCCCAACACUUGGCAUGUCAAAAACAAAAAUUGUCACAUAAUCAAAAUUUUUUAUAAGAAAACAGUUGAAUAAUCGAAAAUUUUUUAUACACUGGCGCCACGUCAUCACUCACUGUAAACUGAAAAGAAAAUUUUUGAUAAGAAAACAGUUGAAUAAUCGAAUUUCGAGUCUUUGGUGGACGUUAUUCUUUUAUGCUAAUUGCUAAAUAUAUCUUUGAGUUAAACAGUUAUUAAAACAUUGGGGCUAGUUUUUCAUUUAACUACAAAAUUACUUUUUUUGAAACCCAUAAAACCAUUUUUAAGUGGUAAAUUAGUUCUAUCACGUCUUCAACUAUUACCAAAUUUUAUUCGAGUUCACCAUUUUAGUAGUAAAUGCAUUAUCUAAAUAAUUUUAAUGAUGUAUUAAAUAAAUAUUUUGAGGAACAAGGCUCAUUAUGUCUCCUCUCAUUAGUUGUAUUUUUAAUUUCUUUUUUAAAAAAUCUCACAUAAUCAAUUAAAAAAAAUUAAGCCACCCAAAAAAAAAAAAAAGUAUUUAGCUUCGCGGUUGAAUGGGGCUAAAUUGUGUAUUAUUUGGCUGGUGAAACUCUUACCACAUCGGCUAAUAUGCUACUUUUGGAUCCCUCAUUUUAACUUUUAUCAUGACAUGGCAGUGGUGGUAGCAGAGCUUGCUCAUAUUGGUAGAAGUGAAAUGAUUGCAAGUAAUCUCCCACCAUGACUGGCAUUUUUAUCUUAUUUAAGUUUCGGUGAAGCCCAUCCACAUAAAAUAAUUGGCAGGAAGUGUUAAGGAGAGGGAUGCUGCAAUCACUUUUUGUUAACGGAAUAAAAAUUUUCAUAAUCUAACAAUUGAUUUACAACAACCCGAGUCCUGAUCAAAUUCAAAUAAUAAUUAUAAUCAACAUCUAUAGUCCUGAUCAAAUUCAAAUAAUAAUUAUAAUCAACAUCUAUAGGAAAAUGGAAGACGAGAAUCAUAUGUCAAAAGAAAUCAUUUCGUAUGCCCAUUACCGUAUUAUUAUUUGUACAUUAGAAAUUAAUAUAAAAUAAUAAUUUAAUACAAUUAAUAAUAAAGCAGCAAUAAAUUUAAACAAUAUUAAUGCAAAAUUAAUAAAGUAUAAUCUAACAUUAAAUACUAUACAAUAUAAUUAUAAUAAAAUACUAAUUCAAUACCACAUAAAGUAAUAUACUUGCAUUAUUUGGAACUGGCAUAAAGUAAAAUUAAUAAAGUAUAAUCUAACACUGUUACAGAUAUUAAUACUAUAUCAACACACAUGGAAAAACCCUUCCCAUGAGUUGUUUCACGGGUGUUUGAAAUUUUACAAACUGCUGGAUAAUGCGCCUUUUGAAGAAUGCAGUAAAUGGAAGGUCUAACAUGUUUCUUAACAAUCUGAAAUAGACUUUGUGCUGCUGUAAAUUUAACAAGUAGAUUACACAUAUAUAUUAUCAAGAAGUAAAUGGAAGGCCGAACAACUUUUUUAAUAAACUGAAACAGAAUUAAAGCAGAGGAGGGAAAAUCAAUUGUGCUUUGUGCAUAAUGUAUAUGACUGACUAACUAACUAACUACGAGUUUAGCUGCCUGCCACAUCAGCAUAAUAUAACACAUAACUAAUAUCAUUACUGAUCAAUUUCCAAGUUUGACACUCCUUAACCUCUCUUUCAGCAAUUUCACGGGGUCAAUUCCUGCCUCACUAGGUAACAAUAUUAACAGUCAACUCGUCUUUCCCUAAUCUUUCGGAUUUGGAUUUAUCGGCUUGUAAUAUAAGUGAGUUUCCAGACCUCUUGAGAACUCAACAUCAAUUAGAGUGGUUGGACCUUUCUAAAAACCAAAUCCGUGGUAGGGUUCCCAGUUGGAUGUGGGAUAUCGGAGUACAUACUUUGUAUUACCUAGACCUUUCACGAAACUUCCUGACAAGCAUAGACCAUCUUCCGUGGAAAAAUCUGGAAUCUCUUCGCCUUGAUUCGAACCUACUUCAAGGAUCACUUCCAGAUCUACCACCUCACAUGGUAUCCUUUUCAAUUUCCAACAAUAGUUUGACUGGAGAGAUUCCUUCAUCAUUCUGUAAUUUGAGUUCCAUUGAAUAUCUUUUCUUAUCCAACAAUAGCUUGAGUGGACAAAUUCCACAGUGUCUUGGAAACUCUACACUUGAAACUUUGGAUCUCAAAAUGAACAACUUCCAAGGCACCAUCCCACAGACAUAUGCAAAGGGCUGCAACUUGACUUCUCUUUGGCUGAGUGGCAAUCACUUGGAGGGACCAUUACCACCAUCUUUGAUUAACUGUGUCGAUUUGUCAGUCCUUGAUGUUGGGAAUAACAACUUGAGCGGCCCAAUUCCAGAAUAUCUUGGAAACUCAACACUUGAAGUCUUGGAUAUGAGAAUGAACAAGUUCAACGGCGGCCUCCCUCAAACAUUUGCAAAAAGUUGUCUUUUGGUAAGUCUUAACCUUAAUGGCAAUCGGUUGAAAGGACCAUUGCCUCCAUCUUUGGUUAAUUGUCAGUAUUUGGAAGUUUUAGAUGUUGGGAAUAAUCAGAUUGAUGAUACGUUUCCCUACCGGUUAGACUUUCUUCCUGAAUUGCAAGUUCUUAUAUUGCGUUCUAAUAGAUUUUGGGGUCCUAUCGGUGAUACCAAAACAAGAGUUCCCUUUCCCAAGUUGCGAAUAAUUGAUUGCUCUCACAAUCAACUCACCGGUGUUUUGCCACUAUGGUAUUUGCAUAGUUUUAAAGCCAUGAUGCAUGGGAAUAACAAUAGUGUUGAAGUCGGUUAUAUGAGGUUGCCGGGUUCUUCUAAUUACUAUGAAUCAAUAUCUUUGACUGUGAAAGGCAAUGACUUACAAAUGGAGAGGAUUUUAACAACUUUUGUAACUAUUGAUUUGUCCAGCAACAGAUUUCAAGGGAAAUAUCAGAAGUGUUGGGAAAGCUGAAUUCACUCGAAAGUCUCAACAUUUCUCACAACAACCUGAAAGGUGGUAUUCCUUCAUCGCUGAGAAAUCUGACAGAGCUUGAAUCUCUAGACCUCUCUUCAAACAAGCUUGCUGGAUGUAUCCCAACACAACUGGCGAGUCUCAAUUAUCUUUCGGUGUUGAAUCUUUCGAACAACCAGCUCGAGGGACCCAUACCAGGAGGACCCCAGUUUAAUACAUUUGGAAAUGAUUCCUAUUCUGGUAACUCGGGUCUGUGUGGAUUCCCAUUAUCAAAAAGCUGCAGCAUUGAUGAGGCACCAGAACCAACAACACCAACAGGAUUUAUCGAAGGAGACGAUGCUUCAAGCUGGUUUGAUUGGAAGCUCGCUAAGUUGGGUUAUGCAUCUGGAGUGGUGAUCGGCUUGUCCAUCGGAUACAUGGCAUUUGUGACUGUAAGAAUGAUCGAAAGGAAGCAAUCCAAGAAGCUGAGAAGGGUGAUCAGACGAGGCAGAGCAAGUAGAAGAAGUUUGUAGAUGCAUCUCUAAAGGCCCAGGUGAGUAAUUAUUAAGUGGGUGCAUUGCUCUUCUUGGAGAAAAUGUAUUAAAUGAAAUCCCACACACCUGCCAAUGGGCUUGUACAACGUUGACGGCACUGAUACUCACACAUCUGAGGGUUUAAAGUAAUUUUCGUAGAUCUUUUAUUGUAAUAUAUGUAUCUAUAUUUCAAAAGGAAGAAACCACCGUCAUCGAAAUUUAAUUAAGAAAAAUCUGCACUUUUUCAUAUAUCAACUUUUUUUCGUUUUGUAGAAACAAAAAUAAUUAUGCGUAAAAUGAAACCAAACGGCCAUUAAAUUUAGAGGGGUUUUCUUAGCGAUGCCAUACCUUAACAGCAGUCCCCACGUACGGCGCGGCCCAUGAUUCCACUUAUAACACGUUCUCAAGAUAAUUGAUUGGGUGUAAAAAGAAAAUGGUUUGAAUAAUUGAAAAAACAUAGGUCCCAAAUCUCUAACCUUUUAUGAUCCUUGUUCAAACGGCCCAGUACGUGCCACCUCAACAUGUGCAAACUCAUCCACGUCACCAGCCUCAGCGCUCUCGCCACGUCAUCACUCGAUGAUCAUUUGGAUGAUCAUUUGGAUUAAGAAAAACAGUUGAAUUGGGUCUCGUCGGUCGUCACAGUGGCCGAGCACAAAAGACAAAGAGAAACCGAAAUGGCGCGAGCUUUGCUCCAUUUGAAUCGCACGGCCACGGCCAUAAUAGUUAUGUUGAUUGAUGUGGUUUGACUUUCAUAUGUUAUUAUUUAAAUCCCCUAAUAUGUUAAAAUUUAAAAAAACUAUAAAACUUGUUUAAAGUAAUAUAAAUAUAAAAAUUACUCUACUCACCAUCUCAACCAUAAAUUAUAUAAAUAACUAAAUUAAAUACAAAGUUAAAAAUCAUGUCUCAUUCCUUUAAAAAAUACACAUUGUGGAAUUGGGCUGCUUAAGUUGUUAUUCCUGAAAUUAAUAAACAUCAAACCGAUACAAUUAACUAAAUAUGGUGAGAAUGGUCUUUCUAGGUGAUUGUCAUUCAGCGUAAGCAUACAAAUUGCAACCUUUUUGCAUAUGAUUGUGGGAUUCUACCACAAAGAUUGUUCAUUCUAACAUCUAAGUACCCCAUUGUAAAGUUUCCAAAGCACGACUGAAGCUAUUAUUGGACAUAGAGAUGGCCACUCGCCAAUGCGAGUAUGUUUUAGAAGGGCACGUAGCAUGGUGGCACACAAAUUAACAAACUAGAUAGGGCUGAGAAUUUUAAGUAUGUGGUCCUUAAAAUCAUGUCCUUCUCUAUAUGCAACAAUGGGAAAUAUCAAAUAAUCGUGACUCAAUUAAUUGUAGCAAUAAUGAUGUAGGAGAUUAUAUGGGCUUAAUUUGGGUGUACAUCUUUGGUUUUAUAAGUUGAAUUUGAAUGUGUAAUAUAACUGUCCUGAAACUCAAUAAGAUAAUUGAUUGGGUCUAAAAAGAAAAUGGAUUGAAUAAUUGAAAUAACUUCUGUCCAAAAUCUCUGACCUUACAUGAUCCUUGUUCAAUUUAGAGUGCCUAAAGAAGCCAUUAUAAAAUUACCAAUUAUACAAAAAAAAUUUAAUUCUCUCUCUUUUUGGUUUUCAUAAGCAUUCGAAAGGCAAUCAUAUCUUUUUUUUUUUUUGAUUGAUAUGCUUUGACCACGGUAUGUUAUUAUUGUAGAAUGUCGUCAAACAUGUUAGUUCUUGGAUGCAACUAUAGAGUUGUGAAUUCAAAUAGUUAAGGCUGGAAUGCUUCCUAAUUUAGAGUGUUGCUGAGAAAAUUCUGCAUACUGGCAGGGAAAAUGGUGCCACAAUGGUCUCUACACUGAGGAAGAAUUCUUGUUUGUUUAUAAUUAAACAUAUCAUUGUUUGUCUUGGGCCAGUAUGUUGGAUUUGGAAAUAUUGGAAGCUUGCAACGAUACAAGAAUUAUUCACCGCCUGCAGACAGCUAUGAUCCAUAUAUGCGACUUUUGCAAUGUUUAUUUUUCAUAAGAAAUUCAAAUGCUACUUCAGAUUCUAUUAAUAAAUCCCGAAUCCUUGUACAUCCAAAUUUCAUUGUUUCAUGAUUCAUCAUAGUCCAAUAAAGUCUUGAGUGCUUGUACCAAUUCAAAGGUUAGUUGUGGAUCAACAAAAAGAAAUAAAAUGUAUGGGGGCUAGCCACAGGUCCUAUAUAUAUACCAGUUAAUUUUUUUGCCAAGUUAUCUCCACUGUUGGUUAUCUGCUUGAGUCUGAAGCAAUAACAUACAAAAAAUAGAAAAAAAAAUGACUAAUAUGACUAGUUAUUAUUAAAUUAGUUGUUAAAUAUUUAUUUAUUCUUAUUACGAUAAUUGAGGUAAUACAUUGCAUAUUCUUGUUUAAUUUUUAGUUAUUCCUUGAUAACGUUCAAUUUGUAUUUUUCAUUUGAAUUUUUUUCCAAAUUUUUGGGGGGAGAAAAGGUAAAGAAUGAGAGAUUAUUUAAUAAAUUGAAUUUAGAGCACAAGCACAGAAGCAUUAAGCUCCUGCUAAACUGUUGUUCGACUUGCAAGUUUUUAGAUCAAAUAAUAAAGUUUGUGCCUUGAGAAGUUAGUUCAUGGCUGGAAUGUUAUUUCUGAUCUAGAGCUAGCGUCCUGAGAAAAUUUUGCAAUGGGAAAAAGGUGCUGCAAUUGCGUCUACAUUGUUGAAGUUUUCUGAAUUUUCUGAAGUUAACAUUGACAAUAGAAGACUCAUUGGUAGGCAUUAUUCUUUUAUACUAAAUAUAUAAUUGAGUUCACAGCUAUCCAUAAAAUGGGACAGUUUUUUUUUAUUUAAUUAAGUUUUUUUUUAUUUAAUUACAAAAUUAUCUUUAUUGAAACCCAUAUAAGAAUAUUUAUACUAAUUAAUUAUAUUACUUCUUCAACUAUCAUCAAAUUCUUAUUCGAGUUCAUUAUUUAAAGAAUAAGUAUGUUAUCUAAAUAAUCUCAAAUAAUGUACUAAACAAAUAUUUUGAGGAACAAGACUCAUUUUGGCUCCUUUUUAUUAGUUAUAUCUUUAAUUUCUUAUUCAUAAAAUUCUCUCGCAUUGAACUAAAAAAGAAAAGGAGAAAUUCAGCCCACCCAAAAAAAAAAAAAAUGUUGUUAGCGUCACCAUUGAAAGGGGCUAAAUUAUGUACUGUCUGACUAGUGAAACUCUUAUCAUGUCUGCUAAUAUGCUGCUUCUGGAUCCCUUAUUCUGAUUUCCAUGGCAGUGAUGGCAGCAGAGCUUGUUCAUAUUGGUAGAAGUGAAAGCAAAUUAAGGAGAGAUAGAGAGACUAAGGUAACCAAAUAGAAUGUCCACUAAGUUUAAUAUGGUGAAGUCCUGGAUCAGUCGCUUUGCUGAAAUGAUUUCAAGUAAUCGCCCACUGUGAUUGGCAUUUUUCUCUUAUUUAAGUUUUGGUGAAAGUGACAGGAAGUGUUAAGGAGAAAAGAUCAGCCUAAUUCAAUGCCUCACUUGCUGAUCCUAUGAGUUUCAUGGCUGCGGAAAAUGUAGAAGUACUAGUUUGAAAUUUUAUAAAUUGUUCAAAAAACCUCUGUCCAAUAAAUUAUUAGGCUAAGCAACAAGACUUGGUGCUCAAAGCCUAAAAGUAAUAUAAAGACUUGGUAACUCCCUUAUUCACCGGCAUGGCAUAUCUGUUCUUGUGACUUCAAUAAGAAAGAAAGAUAAUAUGGAUUAUUUAACUCAGCUCUUAUAUUUUCAGUGGGCUUGACUGAAAUGCUCAUUAAUGACUAGAAAAAGUUAUCUUAACUUAUAAGGUGGACUUGACUGAAAUGCUAAUUAAUGACUUUGAGAAAGAAAGACUUGUUCAGGUGUUCUAUACAUACCUCUUAAUUUGGACAUAUCUUACAUCAGUAACUUUCAACUUCUCUGAUCCUUCCCAAUGUUCCCAUGAGUUUCACUAUCAUAGCCGUGGAAAAGAAGUUUGGAGUUUUACAAAAUUCGAAAAAAAAAAAAAUUAAUUAAGAUUACUGCUCCGCAAUUCAUACAGUUGACCAGGAGAAAAGAUCACUUUAGAGCCUUAUAGGGGGAAGGGAUUGAAGGAAAGAUGAUGUCUUUCUAUUUAGAGCAGGCAACUUGGCAUAAGUUUUCAGCUUAAAUUCAUACGGUUGACCAGUUACAUACAUAUAUGAUAACUUAAAAUAUCUGAGAGUUCGGGUUUCUUAUAGUAUAAACGCAUCUGCUUUUGGACAGGUUCGUGGAAAAACUAGAAUAUGUUUUCGAUUUAGUAUUGGAAUUCUAACUUUUCGCUUUUUGACCUUUCCCAUGAGUUUCGUGGCUGUUGAAAAAGUAAAAGUACGGCUUCAAUAUUUUACAAACUGUCGGAAAACAAACAACAUACCAAUAGCACCUAUGGGCCUUUGGUCCAAUGGGAGAAGCCUUACACUUACAAUGUUGAGUGCAAGAGUUCGAGUCUCCAUAAGAGUUUUAUGGGGGCUAAUUUUAGUACUCUCUCAAUUAUCAACAUAAUUGAGUGGAGACAGUCUUUCCCUUAUGAAAUGUGAGUGGAGUAGGCACCCCUCGAAUAUUAGAGAGGGUUUAAAAUAUCUGGACAACUGCUUCAGUGUGUCAAUGUAUGGCGGUGGUCCCAGUUAUAUGGUAUGAUUGUAAAUAUUAAUUGUAAUGUCUGAUGUAAUGUCAGUACCAUCUGUGUAUAACAGAUUUCAAAAAAAAAAAAAAAAAACAUACCAAUAGCAGUUUUCUGCAAAUGAACCUUUUGAAGAAUUACAGUCUGCUUUAGACCAAAGUAAAGGGUAUGAAUAAAGAAAACAGCCAGAUUUCUGAUUUGGAAUUGGAAUUGUAACUUUCACUUUUUGAUCCUUCCCACGAGUUUCAUGGCUGUGGAAAAUGCGAAAGUACCGGUUUGAAAUUUUAUAAAUUGUUCAAAAAAACCACAGUCCAAUAGAUUCCAAAACUAAAUUAUAAGGCUAAGCAAUAAGACUUGUUGCUCAAAGUCUAAAAGUAUUACAAAGACUUGGUGCCUCCCUUAAAUUCACUUCAUACUUGCACAUCAUUUUUCUUCUACUUUUAGUCAUAUCCGUUCUUGCACAUCAUUUUUCUUCUACUUUUAUUGAAACCUAUAAAACAAUUUUUAAGUGGUAAAUUAGCUAUAUCACGUCUUCAACUAUUAUCAAAUUCUCAUUUUAAAUGAUAAAUGCGUUCUUUAAAUAAUUUCAAAUGAUGUAUUAAACAAAUAUUUUGAGGAACAAGGCUCAUUAUGUCUCCUCUCAUUAGUUGUAUUUUUAAUUUCUUUUUAAAAAACUCUCUCAUAUUCAAUUAAAAAAAAAAUUCGGCCACCCAAAAAAAAAAGGUCUUUAGCUGCGCGGCUGAAUGGGGCUAAAUUGUGUAUUAUUUGACUGGUGAAACUCUUACCACAUCGGCUAAUAUGCUGCUUUUGGGUCCCUUAUUCUAACUUUUAUCAUGACAUGGCAGUAAUCGCCCAGUGUGAUUGACAUUUUUCUCUUAUUUAAGUUUUGGUGAAAGUGAAGUUCAUCCACAUAAAGUAAUAGAAAGGAUCAGGCUAAUUCAAUGCCUAGGGAUGUUACAAUCAUUUUUUAUUACUAAAUAUUUUUAAAUUAGGAUAAUGAAUUAAUGGAAUAAAAGUUUGCAUAGUCUAACAAUUGAUUUACAACAACCAGAAUCCUGAUUAAAUUCAAAAAAUAAUUAUAAUCAACAUCUAUAAGAAAAAGGAAAACGAGAAUCAUAUGUACGGAAAAUCAUUUCAUGAUGGAGGAAAAUUUACCUCAACUAUAGGAAUUUUUGUUUCUUUUAUUUUAGUUGAAACAAAAGUAGGCCCAUAAUUAUAAAGAAAAAUGGCCCACUGUCCUAUACACAUCAUUAACAAAAACUCGAAACAAAACGCGUGUAUUUUGUUUUUAUAUGCAGCAAAAGUGCUUAUCUUCCAAAUAUACAUCCCUUCCUUUCCAUUUAUUCACUUAUAUACGACAAAUCCACCUGCAUUUGUGAAUUACAAGUUCCUCAAUUUUCAAGUAUUAAAGGAGUAAAUAUGUUACUUAUAUAAUUUCAAAUGAUGUAUUAAACAAGUAUUUUGUGGGACAAAAAUCAUGCAUUGAAUUAGAGAAAAAGAAAAAAAAGAAAUUCAACCGAACACAACUAUAAGAAAUUCAAUCCUAAUAAGACAAACUGCCAGUACUGCUCAAUUCAUAAUGUUGGCAAUUUGUCAUCAACAAAAACGCGCGAUGGUAAUAUCGAAAUGGCAAAAAAAAUGUGCAUUCCACUUUUUUGACCCUUCCCAUGAGUUUCACGGGUGUUGAAAAAGUAAAAAGUAGUAGCUUGAAAUUUCACAAACUGCUGGAAAAUGCACCUUUUGAAGAAUGCAGACAAUGUUCUUUAGACCAAAAGAUACUGAUAUGGAAUUGCAAUUGAAACUCUUCCCAUGAGUUUCUGAUCCUUCCCAUGAGUUUCAUGGCUGUGGAAAAUGUGCAAGUACUUGUUUGAAAUUUUACAAAAGUAUUACAAAGAGUCGGUACCUUCCCAUGAGUUUCACGGCUGUUGAAAAAGUAAAAAGAAUGCGGAUUACACAUAUUAUCAAUAAGUAAAUGGAAGGCCGAACAACUUUUUAAACAAACUGAAACAGAAUUAAAGCAGAGGAGGGAAAAUCAAAAUGAGUAGGAUUCCACUUACCACCUAAAUUCCAAAGCAAGCAAGAAAACAGAAUUACAUACCAUAUUCAACUUCUAUAAAUAUUCAUUAUAUCUCUCUCUCUUCUUGUGAUUUCAUCAUCCAGAAAAGAAAAAGAAAAAGAAAAUGGGUUAUAUCACUCAGCCUUAUCAACUUUUUAUUUGCCUCCAGUUAUUGCUCUUCUAUUCUCAGUGUUCAGCAAUACUUUGCUCUCACCACCAAAGUUCUUCUUUACUCCAAUUUAAGCAGCUCUUUUCCUUUCAAAAAGAUUCUUCGCACUAUUGUGAAAUAUUUCAACAAAUAUCUCGUCCAAAGAUGAUGUCUUGGAAAGAGGACGCUGAUUGCUGCUCCUGGGAUGGAGUAACAUGUGAUUCGGCGACGGGUCACGUGGUUGGCCUCGACCUCAGUUGCAGUUGGCUUCACGGCAGCAUCCCUUCCAACAGUAGCCUUUUCUUUCUUCCUCGCCUGCGAAAGCUCAACCUAGCCUUCAAUGAUUUCAAUUACUCUAAAAUUUCUUCUGGUUUUACUGAUCAAUUUCCAAGUUUGACACUCCUUAACCUCUCUUUCAGCAAUUUCACGGGGUCAAUUCCUGCCUCACUAGGUAACAAUAUUACACAAGUUGCUGAUUUGGAUCUCUCAUAUAAUAGUUUUACUGGUCAGAUUCCAUCAUCUUUUUCAAAUCUCCACCAGCUUCGUCAUUUAGAUCUUCAGUCCAAUAACUUUGUUGGUAAAAUUCCUGCAUCACUAGGUAACAAUAUUACACAACUUGCUUAUUUGGAUCUCUCAUAUAACAGUUUUACUGGUCAGAUUCCAUCAUCUUUUUCAAAUCUUCAGCAACUUCAUCAUUUAGAUCUUCGGUACAAUAAGUUUGUUGGUAAAAUUCCGGAUAUGUUUACCAAGCUAACCCGACUAUCUUUUUUAGGCUUGGCAUAUAAUGAACUGAUAGGCUCGAUUCCAAGUUCAAUCUUUGAACUUUUGAAUUUGACAGAUGUCCGUCUUUCUUUUAACAAUAUCAGUGGCAGCGUUGAGCUUUACGAUUUUGCAAAGCUCAAAAAUCUUAAAGUUCUUUCUCUUUCUAAUAUUAGUUUAUCAGUGAGCGCCAAAUUAACAGUCAACUCGUCUUUCCCUAAUCUUUCGGAUUUGGAUUUAUCGGCUUGUAAUAUAAGUGAGUUUCCAGACAUCUUGAGAACUCAACAUCAGUUAGAGUGGUUGGACCUUUCUAAAAACCAAAUCCGUGGUAGGAUUCCCAAUUGGAUGUGGGAUAUUGGAGUACAUACUUUGCAAUUGCUAAUUCUUUCACAAAACUUCCUGACAAGCAUAGACCAUCUUCCGUGGAAAAAUCUCCAAUAUCUUGCCCUUGAUUCGAACCUACUUCAAGGAUCACUUCCAGAUCUACCACCUCACAUGGCACUGCUUUUAAUUUCCAACAAUAGUUUGACUGGAGAGAUUCCUUCGUCAUUUUGUAAUUUGAAUUCCAUUCAAUAUCUUGACUUAUCCAACAAUAGCUUGACUGGACAAAUUCCACAGUGUCUUGGAUACUCUAAACUUAAAAAUUUAGAUCUCGGAAUGAACAAAUUCCUAGGUAGCAUCCCACAGACAUAUGCAAAGGGCUGCAACUUGACUUAUCUUCGGCUGAGUGGCAAUCACUUGGAGGGACCAUUACCACCAUCUUUGAUUAACUGUGUCAAUUUGCAAUUCCUUGAUGUUGGCAAUAACAGCUUGAGCGGCCCAAUUCCAGAAUAUCUUGGAAACUCAACACUUGAAGUCUUGGAUAUGAGAAUGAACAAGUUCAGCGGCAGCCUCCCUCAAACAUUUGGAAAAAGUUGUGUUUUGGAAAGUCUUAAACUUAAUGGCAAUCGGUUGGAAGGACCAUUGCCUCCAUCUUUGGUUAAUUGUCGACAUUUGGAAGUUAUAGAUGUUGGGAACAAUCAGAUUAAUGAUACCUUUCCCCACUGGUUAGACAUUCUUCCCGAAUUGCAAGUACUUACAUUGCGUUCUAAUAGAUUUCGUGGUCCCAUUGGUGAUACCAAAACAAGAGUUCCUUUCCCCAAGUUGCAAAUAAUUGAUCUCUCUUACAAUCGAUUCACUGGUGUUUUGCCAAUAUGGUAUCUGAAUGGUUUUAAAGCCAUGAUGCACGGGGAUGACAAUAGUAUUAAUGUCAAUUAUAUGAGGUCGGCGAAUUAUUCUUACUAUGAAUCAAUAUCUUUGACUAUGAAAGGCAACAACAUACAAAUGGAGAGGAUUCUAACAACUUUUGCAACUAUUGAUUUGUCGAGCAACAGAUUUCAAGGGGGAAUAUCAGAAGUGUUAGGAAAACUUAAUUCACUCAAAGGUCUCAACAUUUCUCACAACAACCUGACAGGUGGUAUUCCAUCGUCGCUAAGAAAUCUGACAGAGCUUGAAUCUCUAGACCUCUCUUCAAACAAGCUUGUUGGACAUAUCCCAACGCAACUGGCGAGUCUCAAUUAUCUUUCGGUGUUGAAUCUUUCGAACAACCAGCUCGACGGACCCAUACCACUAGGACCCCAAUUUAAUACUUUUGGAAAUGAUUCCUAUUCUGGUAACUCAGGGUUGUGUGGAUUCCCAUUAUCAGAGAGCUGCAGCAUUGAUGAGGCACCAGAACCAACAACACCAUCAAGAUUUCUCGAAGGAGAUUAUGCUUCUAGGUGGUUUGAUUGGAAGUUUGCUAAGUUGGGUUACGCAUCUGGAGUGGUGAUCGGCUUGUCCAUCGGAUACAUGGCAUUUGUGACUGGAAGGCCACAAUGGUUUGUAAGAAUGAUCGAAAGGAAGCAAUCCAGGAAGCUGAGAAGGGUGAUCAGACGAGGCAGAGCAAGUAGAAGAAGUUUGUAGAUGCAUCUCUAAAGGCCCAGGUGAGUAAUUAUUAGUUUGUCUUUUAGAAUUAUAAGCUAGUUUCUACUGUUCUUUGAGUAGAUGGCAUGCUGAUAUUAUCGUAACCUAACAGUUGACUUACAAAAACCACAAUACUAAUUAAUUUCGGAUUAUGUUUAUUAUCAACAUCUAUAGUGAGAAAGGAAAUUUUAACUGAUUUAUUGAUGUGGUUGUUUUCUUCAGGAAUUAUAAACUCCUGGAAGCUAGCAGUGGAAGUCAAAUAAUCCUCCAGGUACUGAAAUUGUUUUUACUUAAAUUUCAAUUUCAUGAAAUUGUUUUUACUUUUAUUGCCAUUUCAUUAGAACAUGCUAUCACGGACGUAUUUCUUGAUGGUAAAAUGAUUUGAAGUAAUAUUGUUGCAGGAAAUCUUGUGGGGGGUAACUUUGGUUUGUUUUAUCUCGGAACACGUAUUUCAAAUUUGGGCGUAGAACGUACUAUAUCAAAGUUUGAGAGCAGAAAACAUUCUUAUUAAGUGGGUGCAUUGCUCUUCUUGGAGAAAAUGUAUUAAAUGAAAUCCCACACAUCUGCCAAUGAUGUAUUAAACAAGUAUUUUGUGGGACAAAAAUCAUGCAUUGAAUUAGAGAAAAAGAAAAAAAAAGAAAUUCAACCGAACAGAAUCUCGUUGUCACAAACUGCCAGUACUGCUCAAUUCAUAAUGUUGGCAAUUUGUCAUCAACAAAAACGUGCGAUGGUAAUAUCGAAAUGGUAAAAAAAAUGUGCAUUUCACUUUUUUUACCCUUCCCAUGAGUUUCACGGGUGUUGGAAAAAGUUAAAAAGUAGUAGCUUGAAAUUUCACAAACUGCUGGAAAAAUGCACCUUUUGAAGAAUGCAGACAGUGUUCUUUAGACCAAAAGAUAAUAGCCAGCUAGAUUUCUGAUCUGGAAUUGGAAUUGCAACUCUUCACUUUUUGAUCCUUCCCAUCCCAUGAGUUUCAUGGCUGUGGAAAAUGUGCAAGUACUUGUUUGAAAUUUUACAAAUUGUUGAAAAAACGGCUCAGUGCUCAAAUUCUAAAAGUAUUACAAAGACUUGGUACCUUCCUUAAAAAAGAACAAUAAGACUUGGUAUCUUCCUUAAAUUCAUAAAUUCACAUUAUACUUAAAUUCACAUUAUAAACUACCUUCCUUCCCAUGAGUUUCACGGGUGUUGAAAAAAGUAAAAAAUACAAACUGCUCAAUUUAUAAUGUCGGCAAUUUGUCAUCAACAAAUUAAAACUUGCGAUAGUAAUAGUUUUAAUAAUUCAAUUAUUUUUUCCACUUUUUUGACCCUUCCCAUGAGUUUCACGGGUGUUUGAAAUUUUACAAACUGCUGGAAAAUGGAAGGUCUAACAUCUUUCUGAACAAUCUGAAAUAGACUUCGUGCAGACUUGGUGCUCUGACUCUAAAGGUGUUCUAUUUAAUUAGAUUCCCCUCUAGUGGUGUGAUUAAAAGAGAUGGAUAAAAAAGGUUAUUUUAACUUAUGAGGUGGACUUGACUAAAGUGUUCAUUAAUGACAUGACGUUGAGAAGGAAAGACUUAUUCUCUACGUACCUCUUAAUUUGGGCAAUCGUAUAUCAAUAAUUUUCAAUUUUUUUGAUUCAUCCCAUGGGUUUCAUUAUCAUAGCCGUGGAAAAAAAGUUGAAGUUGUUUGGAGUUUUGCAAAAUUAGCCACAAAUUCAUGCAUCAACUAGAUUCCAAAACAAUAUCAUCAGGCUCAGUAUAACAAAGGACCUGGUGCAUGCUCCAACUCCAAAUGAAUUAUAACUUAGGGAGUGAUCUUAGAGGAAAGCUCAAUUUCCUAACAGAAUCUAACUUAGGGAUGCGAAAAAAAUGUGAGUCUAGCUGGCUGUUACAUCUCUUUUCACAUACAUAAAUAAAUAUCAACAUUGUUAUUAAUUAGAUACAGCUUCAGCUUUGGUACUGGUUUCUGAAAAUUGGAAAAAUUGGAAAAAAGCUCCUUUUGAAGAAUCAAAGUCCACUGUAAAUAAUAAUCCCCAUCAAUAUUUAAUGCUUGUUACUGACUCUCAACCAGCGGCUGCUUUCAGAAAGAAAGACUUCAAUUGUCCCCAAGGGUCGAAAAGUAUUACAUGAUUGAUUAGGUUGCCCACUUUACUUCCACUUCAUGGUAGUUUCUCUUCUUGUGAUUUCAUCAGGAAAAAAAAAAAGGAAGAAAAGAAAAGAAAAGAAAUGGGUUAUAUCACUCAGCCUCAUCAACUUUUGAUUUGCCUCCAGUUAUUGAUCUUGUAUUAACGAGUCUAUAUAUCAUUCAAUUAACUAAACACACUUUGGAGAACAUACAACUGAAAUCAUUUUCACCCAAUGACCUAGCAAAAAGCUACUAUUCAGCAUAGAGAUUACACACAUAUAUGGUAAACAAUUAAGAGUAAAUGGAAGGUCUAACAACUAAUUGGAAUUUUGCAAAACUAGCGACAAAGGCACCAAUAAAUUAGACUCCAGAACAAGAUUAUGAGGAAAAAAGUAGAGAAGUUAGGAAAGUUAGAGAUAAUAGGUAAUAAUCCAAUUAGAAAAGAUAAUUAAAAAUAGAUAAAUUGGAAAUAAUUAAUCCAGACAAAACAAUAAAAACACAAGACUUAGAUUAUAAUUUAGAAGAUAGAAAUGAAGACUUGGUGCUCGGACUCUAAAUGUGUUCUAUUUAAUUAGAUUCCCCUAUAGUGCUGUGAGUAAAAGAGAUGGAUAGAAAAAGUUAUUUUAACUUAUAAGGUGGACUUGACUAAAGUGUUCAUUAAUGACGUGACGUUGAGAAGGAAAGACUUAUUCUCUGCAUACCUCUUAAUUUGGGCAAUCGUAUAUCAAUAAUUUUCAAUUUUUUUGAGUCAUCCCAUGAGUUUCAUUAUCAUAGCCGUGGAAAAAAAGUUGUUGUUUGGAGUUUUGCAAAAUUGGCCACAAAUUCAUGCAUCGACUAGAUUCCAAAACAAUAUCAGGAGGCUCAGUAUAACAAAGGACUUGGUGCAUGCUCUAAAAGUCCAAAUGAAUUAUAACUAAUUAGAUUAUUUCAUCAUCAAAUCAAGACUUGGGACAAUAGAAGUAAAUAUCUAAAUGGUUAUUAAUUGGAUACAGCUUCAGCUUUUGGACUGGUUUGUGGAAAUUGAAAAAAUUUGAAAAGUGUUCCUCUUGAAGAAUCAAAGUCUACUUUAUACGUGAAGAAAGGGGAUGUCAGUAAAGAUUGUUUGAGGAAAAUACUCCGACGAGACCAGACGUGAUGAGCAGAUGUUUGGUGGCAGAAGUCUGCGAGCAGGUGUGUCCUGUAAGAGCCAGGUAGCAGGGAAACAAGGGCAGGAAUAUCCUGCUCAUCCACGAGCACGUCAUCCGCGAGGCUAAUUUCCUGUAAGAAGCAUAAAGCCAUUCCUGCUGUAUUCUUGCUAAGGGUUGAUUCGAGGAGACCCGGUCAACGACAGUUGGCGAGGCAUGCUCUCCAGCCCGAGAAUCUAGGCACGAAGGCCACGCAACCACCCACGACUACGGAAAUGGGGAAUCCACGUUCGAGAGGUGGGAGGAUAACGGACGUAGACUGCGGAAAACUAGGAUUCAGAGGAAGCCUAUAAAAAGGUAGCCAACGAAUGUAAAAUGGUUAGCAAUUUUUAGAUUAGAAGAGAGAUAAAAGAAAUUCUAAAGAAGAGAAAAAUACCCAAAAGCCAUAAGAUCUGUGGCAAGCGUUCCCCGAACCUUCAUAUCUGACUUGAGCGUCGGAGGGUUUGCGCCGGGAAAACAACCGACGUACUCUGACCUGUCUGUGUGCGCAGGAACCUCUGGAGAAGAAGCUUUACGAGGAGAGAUCCUGGUCGUGGUGAAGUUGAUCGAGCAGAGACCCUGGUCAUAGAACGAGGACAACCAGAAUCUCGCAUCAACAUUUUGGCGCCGUCUGUGGGGACUCGAUCAAAAAGCUUCUGUUGAUAGUAAGAAGAGGAGUGAAGCAAGUGAAAAGCGAUGGAAACAGGGGAAGCAAUGCAGAUAACAUCCCUCGAUACCCGAGUGGAAAACAAGAAUGGCAGACAAGAACCUGUAGAGGAUCAGGAAACUGUAAACCUGGGACCAGAGAAUCCGAGAAAGACAAUCAGAAUCGGGUCGAGACUUAAGGGAGAGCAAAAGCAGGAGUUGGUGAAAUGCUUACAGGCUCAUGCAGAUGUGUUUGCUUGGACACAUGAAGACAUGCCAGGGAUUGACCCUGAGGUAGCAUGUCAUAAGCUGGCAAUAAAGAAAUGUGCUCGGGCAGUAAGGCAGAAGAGGAGGUGCUUCAACCAGGAGAGGUAUGAGGCUAUAAAUGGCGAGGUGGAGAAGCUCUUGAGAGCAGGGUUCAUUCGGGAAGUCAAUUACCCUGAAUGGAUAUCAAAUGUGGUGUUGGUAAAGAAAGCGAAUGGCAAGUGGAGGAUGUGUGUGGAUUUCACAGACCUCAAUAAGGCGUGCCCAAAGGACAACUUCCCUUUACCAAAGAUCGAUCAGCUAGUAGAUUCAACGGCUGGACACGCUCUGCUUAGCUUCAUGGACGCGUUCUCGGGAUACAACCAGAUCCCCAUGUACGAGCAGGACGAGGAGAGCACGGCUUUCAUCACUAACCAGGGUUUGUUCUGUUACAGGGUAAUGCCAUUUAGUCUCAAAAAUGCUGGGGCCACCUAUCAGAGGCUGGUGAACAAAGUCUUUAAGCCGUUGAUUGGGAAAAUCAUGGAGGUGUACAUGGAUGACAUGAUCACCAAGUCCAAAAUCCCGAAGGAACAUGUCAGACACCUCGAGGAGACAUUCGAGCUUUUAAGAAAGUAUAAGAUGAAGCUCAACCCAGAGAAAUGUGCUUUUGGGGUCGAGUCGGGGAAGUUCCUUGGAUUCAUGGUGAGUCAUCGGGGGAUUGAAGCAAAUCCCGAGAAGAUCCAGGCGAUCGUGCAGAUGAGGUCUCCUCGUAGCCUGAAGGAAAUACAAAGCCUUACGAGGAGAUUGGCGGCAUUGAGCCGGUUCAUAUCCAAGGCUACAGAUAAGUGUCAACCAUUCUUUCAAGUGAUAAGGAGGGGAAAGAAAACAGAGUGGACCCCGGAAUGCGAGGAAGCCUUUCAGAACUUGAAGCAGUAUUUACAGCAAGCCCUUCUGCUAUCCACACCAAGGGAUGGGGACAAGUUAUUUUUGUAUCUGGCGGUAUCGGAUCGGGCCGCCAGCUCUGUUCUGGUGAGAGAGGAAGAAGGAGUUCAGUAUCCAAUAUACUACACCAGCAAGGCCCUGCUCGACGCUGAGACCAGAUACCCACCAUUGGAGAAAUAGGCACUUGCCCUUGUGGUUGCUGCUCGGAAGUUGAGGCUAUAUUUUCAGGCAUUCCCAGUCUCGGUUAUAAAAAACCAGCCAUUGCGUCAAACUCUGCACAAGCCUGAUGCUUCUGGUUGGCUCGUCAAGUGGGCUAUAGAGCUGAGCGAGUUCGACAUAGACUACAAACUCCGAGCAGCGAUAAGGGCUCAAGCAAUGGCCGAUUUCGUAGCAGAAUUCACAGAGCCUGGAGUAUGUUUAGACCAACAAGAUGUAGUUGCAGACAGUGGCGAAGCUCAAGUAUGGCAAAUGUCUGUAGAUGGGUCAUCAGGGGAGCAGGGAUUGUAUUGGAAGGCCCGAAGGGGGAGGAGAUCUCUUAUGCUGUAAAGUUAGAAUUCGCAGCAACAAAUAACCAGGCAGAGUAUGAAGCCUUGAUAGCAGGAUUGGAACUGGCUAAGGCCGUGAGAGCAGAUAGAGUGAAGAUCAGAACUGAUUCCCAGCUGGUUGCGAAUCAUGUCAGUGAAAGAUUCCAACCAAGAGAGGAGAAGAUGGAGCAGUACUUGAAGAUAGUCAGGCAGAUGAUGGGAAAAUUCGAAGCGGUGGAGGUAGUUGUUGUGCAAAUUUUAAUGUACUCGCAAGCGCACGAAUCUAUUGUAGUAUAGACUAAUGGUGACGAGUGUCGAUCCCACGAGGAGGUGGAUUUUAAUUAUGUGUAGAAUUAAUUUUGUAAAUGGGUAGUUGGAUUUAUGGUGGAAGUGAUUUGAAUUAUCCUAAAAUUGGAAUUGAAAUUGCGAUAAUAAAUUCUAAAAUUAGAAUUGUAAUUGCGGGAAUAAGUUGAAGCGAAAUCUAUUGAAAUGACGUACUUGGGUAUUUGGAUCCGUAUCAACAUGCAUCAUGGGCUAAAUAAUCCGUAUUAAUGCCAAUUAAAUCAUGAGGGGGGAAUCCACACCUCAUGAACCACGCUCUAAUCAAUAUGGUGCUAAGGGCUUAUCGUGCCAAAUAAUAAUAACCUUAUACUAGAGAGCCGGUGUAACCAAGGCGGUAUCUAGACAAGAUCAGUAUUAUUUGUCGACGAUAAGUCAAAUCAUCCACAAAAACUAGAGGGGAAAAGAAAAUAAAUUUACCAAUAAAGCCCAUGACACAUGUUGAGACUUCACCUUCAACCCAAGCUUGAAAAGAAAUUAGCUACUCAUAAUUGAACUAGGGGCAAAAUGGGAAUUUAUUAAAAUAUAAAGAAAAUACAAGAUGGAGAGGGAAUUACAGAAAAUGGAUCCCAAAAAUGGAUUCAGAGAUAUUAAAUUAGGGGGGGGAGGCCCCCUUUUUAUAGAUACAUGGAGUAAAUCAUGGCCAUCGGAUUAAAAAUAGUUUGGACGCUCAGGAUUGCGCCACGUCAUCAGUCAACAGUCCACGGUUUGACCACGCGGAUGAACAGUAACACGGUUUGACCCGGAUGAACAGUAACGCGGUUUGGUUGAAAAUAAUCCUGUGUGAUGCAUGCACCGUACGCGAGAUUUUUCGUCCACUGAUAUGCUGCCACGUCACCAUCAACAGUACAUAAGAAUUUUAGUCCAACAGGAUCGUGACACCUCAUCAGUCAAUGCCACAUCAUCGGUCAAUGCCACGUCAUCGAUCCGUCUAUGUGAACAGUGCCGUGAACAGUAACAUAUACAGUACCGUAUACGUGAAUAGUACCGUACAUGUGAAUAGUGUCAUUUUUCCUUUUAUGCCCCUCCUAAGGUUUUCGAUCGUCCUGAGUUCAAAAGUGAUGUCCGUUUUGCCAUCUGAUCUCUCCUUUAUUGUGAAAUGACUAUAAUGCCCCUAAAAUACAUAAAAUACUUAAUUAAAAUAAAAGACAUGUAAUUAAAUCACAAGAAGGUUAAAUACAUAAAAGUAAGGGUUGUUAAUAAGACUUGAAAUGUAAAAUGACGGUUUUCUCCUUUAUAAAUAUGUAUUUUCUAACACUCAACACACCCCCCAACCAGCUUAUUGCUAGUCCCUAGCAAAUAAAGCGAAAACAAAAUUCAAAUUCAAAAUGAUUUUUUUUUUUUUUUUUUUAGAAACACUCGUGUUUAUUCAAUCAGAUUAAUGAUAGCAAUCAAAUAAAAGUAUAAGCAUUAUCUCCAGUCUAAAGCAACAUCACACCCACAUCAACCAUCCACAUGAAUUAGCCCAGUAGACUUUGUUAUAGCUACUUUCAAGAAUGACAUGUCAAACCCCAAAAUCUCACUGGAAGUAGUGACACUCUCACAAAGAAAUUAAAACCCAAUAAACAUAGUCACUCCAAUGAAUGGUAAUUGAGAGAGAAAAUAAUAAAGAAAUGAUAUCACAUGCUCUCACCAAGAUGAAAUAAAUAUGCUCUCAGCUUAGAAAUAAUACGAUCUCAAGUCAAAUAAAAUGUUAGUCAACCCACUUUAUUUAUCUUUUUUUUUUUAUUAUGCAUCACUACAUCUUUUUAGCCCAUAUAACUAGCUUCUACUUCAAACUAUAGUUCCCUAAAAUCAAGAAGGACUUUUAUUAGGACGUAACGUAGGCUAGGGAUAUGGCUAACAAAGAAAGGAAAUAAGGAAAACAAAGUGUAUGUUUGAGAAAAAUGCAGAAAUUUUUUUUUUUUUUUUUUGGAACUUGCAAGGUGGAUUUCACCUAUUAUUGUUAUUUUUAUUCUUUUGAAACAACAACUUUUGUUUUUGUUUUUUUUUUCUUUUUGCUUUUAUUUGGCAUAACUUCACUGAACAACAUAAUUAUUUACAUUUUCUCAAACAUAAAUAGGUGAUGGAACUUAUAAGACAUCGGGUAAUACUCCAAAUCGGAGUGGGUCAAGAUGAUAAGUUGACAAAGAAAAUGUUUUUGUUCUUUUUUUUUUUUUUUUUUUUUUUUAAAGGCUCAAAAGGGGUAACUAUGGAUAUUUAAUAAAAGGGAUGGCUAGAAAGGCUCAAACGGAUCAAAGAUGGCCUUUCCAUCGUUUUUUAGGGCUCUAAAUAAUUAUCCAUAUCUACUAGUUAGAUGGGCCUUCCAAUGUAGCAACACACAUUUUUUUCUUUUUUCUUUUUUUUUUUAAUUUUACCAUAUUUUUUUUUUUAAAGGGUUAACUUAAAAGAAAUCUAGAGAUCGUGUAUAAAAUAAUAAACUGCUAAGCUGUAUAGAGAAUGGGCAAAAGGGUUACUCUCCAAGAAAAUGAUAGGCUCAACAACUCACUUGGCACUUAUUUAUGACAUGUUCAUUCCUUCAAGCAACUCAUAUUUGUCUCCGACAUCAACAUGUAAAGUAGCAAACAUAGCGUAACAUCACUUAAGACCAAAGAUAAUACAAAUACUAAAAUUUGAAAUUAAUCAUGUCAUCCAAUGUUAAAACAAAUAACACAAAUUUUUUUUUUUUAAACAACAUUCUACCCCCCAACCUAUUCUAAACAUGAAAGGAAAAUAUGCAUGCAGAAAUGUGAAAAUGAUGUAGAAAAAUUAAUUAGAAAAAGAAUUUUUUUUUUUUUUAAACUAAGAAGAUGCGUUUCUAGAGGCACUACACUCCAUAUUCAGCCAUCUUCGACUCAAAAAUUUGAAACUACAUAUUUAUAAAGGAGAAAGAAGAAGAAAACGGUUUUUUUUUUUUUUUUUUUUUUAAACGAUGAAGAUGCGUUUCUAGAGUAACUACACUCCAUAUUCAGCCAUCUUCAACAUAAAAUGUUAGCAACAGUUAGUUUCUACAACAAAAAAUCAGUAAAAACUUAACCAAGAUUCCACAAUUGUCGACUAUUCCCUCCUCCCAACCAGAACGAAACAUUGUCCUCAAUGUUUUAAAGGAAAGAAGUAGAGUUUAGAAGACAUCACCUGGGUGGUGCAACACAGAAGAAAAUAUUUACAGGCGGAGAGUUAAAUCUAAUUUGUACUUCUUACUGCGGCUACUGUUACCAUCAUUAUUUGGUCGCUCCAACACAAAGGUCCAGGGGUCUGGCUCCGGUUUAUAAGCUUGUAACAUAUCAAGUAGCUCAUUAGCAGUGUGAGCACAAAUAAAGAGUUUUUUCACAUUAGAAGGAAUGAAAUAGUUUUUUAUUGCAUGGUUAAGAAAUGCGAUAAAGCCAUCAUAAAAGUUAUUGACAUUUAACAAACCGAUGGGUUUCUGGUGGAUGUGCAGAUGGGCCCAAGAUGCUAGUGUCAUAAGUGCCUCUAGUGUUGCAAGAUCUCCUGGAAGGAAAAUAAAAGCAUCAGCAUGAUUAAGCAUUUCAGUUAUUCUUUCUUGCAUACCUGAGACGACUAACUCUUCUCCAGUUGAUGAGUCAGACGAACUGCCCAAUGGUUUGAGGACUCUUGGGAUGAUGCCUAACACUUGACUUCCUCUGAUAAAAGCUGCUUCUGAGACCAUUUUUGAUAACCCUCGGUUACCUCCUCCAUACACCAAAUGUAAUUUUCUCGCUGCUAUGCUUCGACCAAGAUCUAUGGCUGCCUCCACGAACUCUUUAUGUUUGCCAUAGGUAAAUCCAGAAAGCACACAAAUGUUCUUGAAUUGUCUAUUGGGAGUAGCUGCCAUUGGAAUAUUUCUCAAAAAUAAUUUGUGAGUGCUUAACAAAAAGUCAUAUUUAAAAGUCUUGGUGACAGUGGGUCACAGUUGUGUAUGAGGUAACAUGUCAGUGUCAAAUAACGCAUAAAGCGCGUGGCUCGCGAGUCAAAAAGGAAACAGUAAAAAGGAAAAACAAACAGUAAUAAAAUUAUUAAAGGCAAUAAUGCAAUAAAACAAAAGUGAAAUGAAAUAAAAUAACAGUAAAGUAAAAGGAUAUUUACACGUAGUUGCGACUGUGGCUCACAUCUUCCUCUGGUUUUACGUCCAGAAACGGCUUGAACGCCCUCUAUGGGUCGAGGAUGGGCUUCCCAUCCAGUUUUCUUAUAAACUGGCAAACAGGGUCGUUUAUAGUCAGAUUCCCGAGACUAUAUCGUGCAUGCUCUUUUUGGAAUAAUGGCCAUAACUGGAGAAUCGCUCCUUGCACAUAUCCACUGGGAUGCGUUUCAAGAGACAAAAGGAUAUCAUCCAAUGACUCCUUAUUCAAGCCAUCCCUAAUGAAUUGAAUCUUAUCUUCCCUGUUAUCAGACACCAUUCCUAAAGAACAUGGGUUUUUAUCGCAACUCAUUCUGGCACACUUAUGACAAGCAACAGAAAUUCUUCGAGCUCGUCGUUUUCUUGCAUAAUUUCCUUUACCACAACCAGGCAUGUAUGCAAUAAAUUUAGGAGGUAACUCACCUGCCAAUCGUACUUUAGCCUCGAUUAACCAACGGAUGUCUGCAGGUAUGUUAUUCUUCAUGAGCAAUCGCAUGCGUUCAGACCGGGCUUUAUAGAUCGUAAGGAGGGCAUUCUGAGGAAGUGAAGGGAAUCGCUUGUGAAGCUUCGCUAGAAUCUCAUUUCUGUCCAUACCUUCGCCUCAGAAUAUCAGUUAUUAUGGGAAACUGAAGUUAACCGACUUGAUUGUCACGGAGUACCGUUAUCCGCCACUUCACCGGGGUAACAAACUAAAGCACACAAACAGAAAAACAAAUUAAAACACACAAAGAAAAUUAAAAUCGUCCUCUUAUUGAUUUUACCUCAAGCUCCAACUGGAUGUCGUAAACACUUCUCUCAAUGUCUCUGAGUUGGCGUUCUAAACCCUCAACAUAGGCCACUAACUCUGGUGGUUGUAGAGCCCAAAUGCGUUGUGUUUUACAAAAUAGAAUCUGCCUUUUGAGAUGAGUUUUGACACGUUGAAGUGGUUUAAGAAUGUUCAGGAGGAACGGUCUAAGUAUGAGACUCAUGAUUAAAAAUGAUAAGAGAAAACUUAAUGGUAAAAUAAACACACUUAUGCAAAAACAAUUUCAAUUAGCAAAAGAAUAAUAAUAAAAAGAAAUAAAGAAAAAUCAAAUCAACGAAAAGAAAAAAAAAUCAAUUCAAAUUUGGUGGGUCACUCAAAUUUAUUUCGAUGUUUUCUCCAUGUGGUUGGUACUCUAGAUAUGGCUUUAAUCUUUGACCAUUAACUUUAAACGUGACACCGUUCUUUGGGUCCUUAAUUUCAAUUGCCCCAUGUGGAAAAACAGUAUGUACAAUAAAUGGGCCAGACCAACGAGAGCGUAACUUACCUGGGAAUAGGUGCAAGCGAGAAUUGAAUAAAAGCACUUUCUGACCUGGAGUGAACGAUUUUCUCAUAAUUUGCUUAUCAUGGAAGACUUUCAUUCGUUGCUUGUAAAUCUUGGCAUUUUCGUAUGCAUCAUUGCGAAUUUCUUCAAGUUCUGCCAGCUGUAAUCUUCUUUCUGAGCUGGCUUGCUGCAUGUCAAAGUUGAAUUUCUUGAUGGCCCAAUAUGCACGAUGCUCGAGUUCCACAGGUAGGUGGCAAGCUUUUCCAUACACUAGCCUGUAGGGUGACAUCCCAAUCGGGGUCUUGAAAGCCGUUCUAUAUGCCCAUAAUGCAUCAUCAAGUCGUAAUGACCAAUCUUUCCUGUCUGGCCUCACCGUCUUUUCUAAUAUGUGCUUUAUUUCUCAAUUGGAGAUCUCAACUUGGCCACUGGUUUGCGGAUGAUACGGGGUCGCCACUUUGUGUGUGAUUGAAUACUUUGUCAAAAGAGCCUUGAAUGCUUUGUUACAAAAGUGGGCACCACCAUCACUGAUUAUCGCUCGAGGGAAUCCAAAGCGUGAAACAAUGUUGCUUUUCAAAAAUCCUAUCACCACUUUGUGAUCAUUGGUUCUGCAUGGAAUUGCUUCCACCCAUUUCGAUACGUAGUCAACAGCAACCAAUAUGUAUUGAUGACCAAAAGACGGAGGAAAGGGUCCCAUGAAGUCGAUACCCCAUACGUCAAAAAUCUCAACCACUAAAAUUGGAUUUAGUGGCAUCAUGUUCCUUCGUGUAAUGAUCCCCAUUCGUUGACACCUAUCACAUGAAGAACAGAAAGUGUAAGCAUCUUGAAAUAUAGUUGGCCAAUAAAAACCACAUUGUAAAACUUUAGUCGCGGUUUUCUUAGCACUGAAGUGGCCUCCACAAGCUUGUGCAUGGCAGAAUGAAAGAAUAUUCUGAAUUUCAUUUUCAGGGACACAUCGUCUAACAAUUUGGUCUGCACAAUAUUUGAACAAAUAUGGGUCAUCCCAAAAGAAAUUCUUUAUUUCCGCAAAGAAUUUAGCCUUGUCUUGCUUGGUCCAAUGCUCUGGAAGUUUACCUGUAACAAGAUAAUUAACUAUAUCAGCAUACCAAGGUAAUACUUCCACAUUCAUUAAUUGUUCAUCUGGAAAUGACUCAUUUAAUAUUAAUGGCUCUGUAAUUGUGUCAAAAUGGAGACGAGAGAGGUGGUCCGCCACAACAUUUUCUGUGCCUUUCUUAUCCUUGAAUUCCAAGUCGAAUUCCUGCAAAAGUAACACCCAACGAAUUAGUCUAGCUUUUGCAUCUUUCUUUGUGAGAAGAUAUUUAAGAGCAGCAUGAUCUGUGAAUAUAAUUAUUUUACAACCAAUGAGAUAAGAUCGAAAUUUCUCUAAUGCAAACACUACUGCUAGCAUUUCUUUUUCAGUAGUUGAAUAAUUCAACUGUGCAUCAUUCAAUGUCAUACUAGCAUAGUAAAUAACGUGGGGAAUUCGAUCAACUCUUUGUCCUAAUACUGCUCCUACUGCAUAAUCAGAUGCAUCACACAUGAGCUCAAAUGGUAAGCUCCAGUUUGGGGCCUGAAUGAUGGGUGAUGAUGUCAACAACUGCUUUAAUUUUUCAAACGCCAUUAGACAUGAAUCAUUAAAGAUAAAAGAUACAUCCUUAGCAAGUAGAUUGCAUAAGGGUCUAGAAACUUUGCUAAAAUCUUUAAUGAAACGUCUAUAGAAACCAGCAUGCCCAAGGAAAGAUCUUACUUCUCUGACUGUUUUAGGUGGAGGAAGAUUAGAAAUGAGAUCCACCUUGGCUUUGUCAACCUCAAUACCUUUGCUCGAAAUGAUGUGACCGAGAACAAUACCUUGUUUUACCAUAAAAUGGCACUUCUCCCAAUUCAAGACUAAGUUCUUCUCGGUACAUCUCUGCAGAACUAGCGUUAGAUGAUGUAAACAUUGAUCAAACGAGUCACCAAAGACAGAAAAAUCAUCCAUAAAGACUUCAAGGAAUCGUUCAACCAUAUCAGAAAAAAUGCUCAACAUGCAUCGUUGGAAUGUAGCAGGUGCAUUACAUAAUCCAAAUGGCAUUCUCCUAUAUGCAAAAGUGCCAAAAGGGCAAGUGAAAGUAGUUUUCUCCUGAUCUUUUGGUGCUAUGGGAAUCUGAUUAUAUCCUGAGUAGCCAUCUAGAAAGCAAUAAAAUUCGUGGCCUGCUAAUCUAUCAAGCAUUUGAUCGAUAAAUGGUAAAGGAAAAUGGUCUUUACGUGUGACAGAAUUCAACUUUCUAUAAUCAAUGCAUACACGCCAUCCUGUAGUUACUCUAGUUGGUAUCAAUUCAUUAUCAGCAUUGGUAACUACUGUGACUCCUGACUUUUUGGGGACAACUUGUACAGGACUGACCCAUGAACUAUCAGAAAUUGGGUAAAUGAUACCUGCGUCUAAUAGCUUAAGGACUUCUGUUCUAACAACUUCUUUCAUAUUAGGAUUUAACCGACGUUGCAUUUCCCUAGUAGAUUUAGCAUUUUCAUCAAGGUGAAUAUAAUGCAUGCAGUCUACUGGGUUUAUACCUUUUAUGUCCGCUAUGGUCCAUCCUAAUGCUCCUUUGUGCUCUUUUAAAACAUCCAACAACUUACCUUUUUGUUCGUCAUUUAGGGAUGAUGAGAUGAUUACCGGCAGAGUACUUUCUUCUCCCAAAAAUGCAUAUUCCAGAGUGUUGGGUAAUGGUUUGAGCUCGAGUUUCGGUGGUGAUUCUGAUGAUGGAAUGAGUUUCUUCUCUGAUGGUGCUAGUUGUUCAACUCUUGACUUCCAUUUAUUAGUGUCCAUGGAUGGUGCUGAGUCAAGUAGAGCGUUGACCUCAUCAACCGAUCUGUCAAUAUCAAAAUCCAAACCAAAGUGAGUUAAACAUGUUUGUAAAGGAUCAUCACUAAGGUUUGAAAGAAAAGUAUUAUCAACUAUUGUUUCUAUUAAAUCCACAUCAACAAUUCCAUCAUCUGCACUGUGAGGUUGUUUGGCAAUGUUGAAGAUGUUUAGCUCCAUAGUCAUGUUGCCGAAGGACAAUUGCAUAUUUCCGGUCCUACAUUGAAUAUGAGCAUCUGCAGUUGCCAAGAAAGGUCGGCCUAGAAUAAUGGGGAUGUGCUUCCUUGAGUCCUGUAUUGGUUGAGUGUCAAUUACAAUGAAAUCAACAGGAAAAUAAAACUUGUCUACCUGGAUAAGCACGUCCUCCACAAUACCACGAGGUAUUUUUGUGGACCGAUCUGCAAGUUGUAACACCACUGGAGUUGGGUGUAAUUCUCCCAGUCCAAGUUUCACGAAUACAGAGUAAGGCAACAAAUUUACACUAGCUCCUAAAUCCAACAAAGCAUUCUCAAUUGUGUGGUUCCCUAUACUACAUGAGAUAGUGGGGGAGCCUGGGUCUUUGCAUUUUAAAGGAAUUUUAUGUUGGAGUAUAGAACUAACGUUUUCUGUUAAAAAUGCCUUCUUUUGAACAUGCAUAUUUCUCUUUUUAGUACAAAGGUCUUUAAGAAACUUGGCAUAAGAUGGAACUUGCUUUAUAGCAUCAAGUAAAGGGAUGUUAACACUUACCUGUUUGAAGAUUUCGAGAAUCUCACCUGUAGAUUUUCCCUUCUUUCCUUUCACUAACCUCUGAGGAAAUGGAGCUUUGGGAACGUAUUCUCGUGGGUUGGUUUCUUCUUUUUCCUCCGGUGGUGAGUCCUCAGCAUUUACAGGUACAAUUUGAUUUUCUUUUGUCACCGGCAUCUCCACUUUAUUGUCGACUUCUUUUCCUUUUCGCAAGGUCAUGAUUGCUUUGACCUCUCCAUGCUGUUGUGGUGAACUGGUACUUGCUUCAUGUACUCCUUUAGGAUUAGGCACUGGUUGACUUGGAAAUUUUCCUUUCUCAACAGUCAUUGCCAAGGUCUGAACUGAAGAAGCAAGUUGUCCCACCAUCUUCUCGAGACUUGAAACUGAUUGGGCUUGUGAGUUAAAGCCCGCUCUCAAUUCAUUUCGUAGUCCAUCAAUAGUGCGGUUCUGUUGCUCAAUCGUGGAGUGAGUAACAUUCUUGAAAUUCUGGAAUGCAUUCUCCCAUGGUCUGGGUUGAGAAUAGUUUUGGUUCUGAUUGUAUGGUCUAAAUGGUGGCUGAGAGGCUUGAGGAUUUUGAGGAAUUGGUUGCAGUGGUGGAGCUGCUGGUCCAUUCUGUUGAAAUCCUUGAGACCAUGAAAAAUUGGGGUGGUCUCUCCAUCCAGGGUUAUAUGUGUUGGAGUAUGGGUUGUAAUUAGAUGGCUUUCUCAUUACACCUAUGGCAUUAGCUUGAUCUGAGUAUGAGUCAUGGUCAUGUGGCUCUGUUGAUUUAGCAGUCGACAAUGAUGCUAUUUGUCGAGCAAGACCUUCAACCAUCUCCUUGACUUCUUUGAUUCCCGAAGUUGACUCGCCAAUUUGAACCUCAUUUACUCCCUUAAUUCUUCUAGUAUUCCUGAGUGAUCGACUCCGUUGUUGGGAAUUAUCCGCUUGUCGCUGGAAGAAUUCCCAAAUCUCUGUUGCACUUUUUGACAUUAGCUCUCCUCCACUUGUUGCCAUUAGCCAUUCUUGCACAUUCGGCAAUAAUCCCUCCAAAAAGUAUUGGCAUUGGUGCCAUUUUUCGUACCCAUGAUGUGGACACUUCAAGAGUAGCCCAUUGAAUCGCUCCCACAUUUCGAAAAAUUGCUCGUCAUCUCUUUGGGUAAACUCUGAAAUUUCCCUGCGAAUAGCAUUUGUUUUAUGCACUGGGAAAUAUUUAUUCAAAAAUUUUGUUACCAUUUGUUCCCAUGAUGAAAUGCUAUUGGCAGGCAAUAUAUUAAGCCAUGAACGAGCUCUAUCCUUUAAAGAAAAUGGGAAUAAUCUGAGUUUAACAUCAUCGUCUGAAAAAUUCUCAUAUUUAAAAGUUUGACAAAUGGCAUGACAAUCAUUCAGAUGAUUAUAUGGGUCCUCAUUUUCUAAGCCAUAAAAUGUGGGGAGACAAUUUAGCACACUAGGUUUUAAUUCAAAACUCCUAGCAGCUGCAUUUGGGUAUCUUAUGCAUGAUGUGCUCAAAUUAGCUAAGGGACUAAAAUAGUCCUUAAAUGGCCUCUCCUGUGGUGCUUGUAAAUCCAUUCCAAAUUUAUUUUUAAUGUGCUUUUGUGUGCGAAGUGUUUUUUCUAAUUCAAGGUCUAUAGGUUCAAGAUUAGGUAAUAAUGACCUACGACCAUGCAUGCAAAACAAAUAAAAUAAAAAUAAAGAUGGGAACAAAACAAAUAAAAAUAAAGAAGAGGGAGAAAUUACGAUACUAACCUUAUUGCGCUAUUACAACCUUUCUAUAAAAAUACACAAAAACAAAUACGUGAAAUAAAUUAACUAAAAAUUAAAUUAAUAAGAUAAAGAAAAAAAAUUAUAAAGAAAAAUAAAUUGAAAAUUAAAUUACAGAAUUUUAAAGAAGAGAAAAAGAAAAGAAAUACUAACCUUUAAAUGUAGAUUAACUUUUUUAUUUCUUUUUUUAUUAUUUUUUUUUAAAGAACAAAAAAAAAAUACAAGAAAACAAUUAAAUGAAAUUAUUCACAAAAAUUAAAUCUAUGAAUUAAAAUUACUUACCUCCCCGGCAACGGCGCCAAAAACUUGUUGUGCAAAUUUUUGUGCAAACUUGUUGUGCAAACUUAUUACACCAGCAAGGCCCUGCUCGACGCUGAGACCAGAUACCCACCAUUGGAGAAAUAGGCACUUGCCCUUGUGGUUGCUGCUCGGAAGUUGAGGCUAUAUUUUCAGGCAUUCCCAGUCUCGGUUAUAAAAAACCAGCCAUUGCGUCAAACUCUGCACAAGCCUGAUGCUUCUGGUUGGCUCGUCAAGUGGGCUAUAGAGCUGAGCGAGUUCGACAUAGACUACAAACUCCGAGCAGCGAUAAGGGCUCAAGCAAUGGCCGAUUUCGUAGCAGAAUUCACAGAGCCUGGAGUAUGUUUAGACCAACAAGAUGUAGUUGCAGACAGUGGCGAAGCUCAAGUAUGGCAAAUGUCUGUAGAUGGGUCAUCAGGGGAGCAGGGAUCUGGAGCAGGGAUUGUAUUGGAAGGCCCGAAGGGGGAGGAGAUCUCUUAUGCUGUAAAGUUAGAAUUCGCAGCAACAAAUAACCAGGCAGAGUAUGAAGCCUUGAUAGCAGGAUUGGAACUGGCUAAGGCCGUGAGAGCAGAUAGAGUGAAGAUCAGAACUGAUUCCCAGCUGGUUGCGAAUCAUGUCAGUGAAAGAUUCCAACCAAGAGAGGAGAAGAUGGAGCAGUACUUGAAGAUAGUCAGGCAGAUGAUGGGAAAAUUCGAAGCGGUGGAGGUAGUUGUUGUGCAAAUUUUAAUGUACUCGCAAGCGCACGAAUCUAUUGUAGUAUAGACUAAUGGUGACGAGUGUCGAUCCCACGAGGAGGUGGAUUUUAAUUAUGUGUAGAAUUAAUUUUGUAAAUGGGUAGUUGGAUUUAUGGUGGAAGUGAUUUGAAUUAUCCUAAAAUUGGAAUUGAAAUUGCGAUAAUAAAUUCUAAAAUUAGAAUUGUAAUUGCGGGAAUAAGUUGAAGCGAAAUCUAUUGAAAUGACGUACUUGGGUAUUUGGAUCCGUAUCAACAUGCAUCAUGGGCUAAAUAAUCCGUAUUAAUGCCAAUUAAAUCAUGAGGGGGGAAUCCACACCUCAUGAACCACGCUCUAAUCAAUAUGGUGCUAAGGGCUUAUCGUGCCAAAUAAUAAUAACCUUAUACUAGAGAGCCGGUGUAACCAAGGCGGUAUCUAGACAAGAUCAGUAUUAUUUGUCGACGAUAAGUCAAAUCAUCCACAAAAACUAGAGGGGAAAAGAAAAUAAAUUUACCAAUAAAGCCCAUGACACAUGUUGAGACUUCACCUUCAACCCAAGCUUGAAAAGAAAUUAGCUACUCAUAAUUGAACUAGGGGCAAAAUGGGAAUUUAUUAAAAUAUAAAGAAAAUACAAGAUGGAGAGGGAAUUACAGAAAAUGGAUCCCAAAAAUGGAUUCAGAGAUAUUAAAUUAGGGGGGGAGGCCCCCUUUUUAUAGAUACAUGGAGUAAAUCAUGGCCAUCGGAUUAAAAAUAGUUUGGACGCUCAGGAUUGCGCCACGUCAUCAGUCAACAGUCCACGGUUUGACCACGCGGAUGAACAGUAACACGGUUUGACCCGGAUGAACAGUAACGCGGUUUGGUUGAAAAUAAUCCUGUGUGAUGCAUGCACCGUACGCGAGAUUUUUCGUCCACUGAUAUGCUGCCACGUCACCAUCAACAGUACAUAAGAAUUUUAGUCCAACAGGAUCGUGACACCUCAUCAGUCAAUGCCACAUCAUCGGUCAAUGCCACGUCAUCGAUCCGUCUAUGUGAACAGUGCCGUGAACAGUAACAUAUACAGUACCGUAUACGUGAAUAGUACCGUACAUGUGAAUAGUGUCAUUUUUCCUUUUAUGCCCCUCCUAAGGUUUUCGAUCGUCCUGAGUUCAAAAGUGAUGUCCGUUUUGCCAUCUGAUCUCUCCUUUAUUGUGAAAUGACUAUAAUGCCCCUAAAAUACAUAAAAUACUUAAUUAAAAUAAAAGACAUGUAAUUAAAUCACAAGAAGGUUAAAUACAUAAAAGUAAGGGUUGUUAAUAAGACUUGAAAUGUAAAAUGACGGUUUUCUCCUUUAUAAAUAUGUAUUUUCUAACACUCAACAGUAGUACAAAUCCCAAGGGAGCAGAAUAGUCGAGCAGAUAUUUUGGCCAAGAUGGCAGCGGUAACAGACCCAAAAAUGCCAAAGUUGAUCCCUCUGGAGGUGAAGUCCAGCCCGAGCAUCGAGCUGAAUUCGGGGGUGCUGCGGAUAGAACAAAAAUGCUCGUGGAUGGACCCUAUAGUUUCAUACCUUAGAGACGGGGUAUUACCACCAGGUAAGCUGCGAGCUCGGAAGAUUAGAGCCCAGGCCUCGAGAUACACGAUGAUUGAUGGGAUACUGUAUCGGCGAGGAUAUACACUACCUUUCCUUCGAUGUUUGGAUGAGGACGACGCAGAUUACGUACUGAGAGAAGUACAAGAAGGAAUUUGCGGGAAUCAUUCUGGUGGGAGAUCCCUGGCCCACAAGGUUCUAAGGCAGGGAUAUUUCUGGCCGACAAUGCACUAGGAUGCACAUGAGAAGACCAGGAGCUGUGUAAGCUGCCAGAGUUUUGCAAGUUUCCCCAACCAACCACCAGAAAAGCUCACCUCUAUGGCCUCCCCUUGGCCAUUUUCUCAAUGGGGAAUUAAUCUGAUCGGCCCGCUGCCAAAGGGACGAGGAGCAGCAACGCAUGCAAUAGUUGCUAUAGAUUACUUCACGAAGUGGAUAGAGGUCGAAGCCCUUAGCAGGAUUACAGAGAAGAAAACGACAGACUUUGUGUGGAGAAACCUGGUCUGUCGAUACGGGAUCCCUUAUGCCUUGGUAACGGAUAAUGGCAGGCAGUUCGAUAAUCACAGCUUCAAGGAUUUCUGCCAGAACCUCGGGAUAGAGCUGAAGUAUUGCUCGCAUGCUCACCCUCAAUCGAAUGGACAAGUAGAAGCAGCCAACAAGACCAUCAAAAGACUUUUGAAAACCAGGCUUGGAGCAAAAAAAGGUACAUGGGUUGAUGAGCUGUCAGGUGUCCUAUGGGCAUACAGGACAACCCACAAAACAGCAACUGGGGAGACACCGUUCGCCCUAGCUUUCGGACAUGAAGCGGUCGUACCAGCUGAGAUAGGAACGACCACGCACCGGACAGACCAUUUCAAUCAGCAGGAGAACGACGAGCAGAUGUGUUUGAAUCUUGAUCUGCUAACGGAGAAGAGGGAGCAAGCAGCUGGUCGAUCAGCCAUUUACCAGCAAAGGGUUGCUCGUUAUUAUAACCAGAAGGUGAAUGUACGGCAAUUCAGGGUCGGAGACUGGGUACUGAGAAGAGUGAAUCAGAGCACCAAAGAUUCGACUCAAGGAGUGCUGGGACCGAAUUGGGAAGGGCCAUACAGAGUCAAGCAGGUAAUGGGACCCGGAGCUUACAAGCUGGUUCGCACGGACGGCCACGAGGUGAAACGCCCAUGGAACGCAGCACACCUCCGAAAAUAUUUCCAGUAAGACUUGUUCACAUUUGAAAGCUAUUUCUGCUCGUGUUCAUUAUCGUUUAUCUUUUAUGUUUUAUGUCCAAACAAUUUCAUGAAAGUUGAAUCCUGCCAUUAAUGGAACGUCGAGGAAUUUCAUUCGCUUGAAACUGUGAAAAUUUCCUCAGGCAUGCAAAGGCUCACUAAGUCUCAAACCCUGUUUUAUGGCGAGACAGAAGCCAAGCGUGCCAGGAUCUGCUCGACCACGAGAAGGCGAGCAGAAUCCCAAUCCUUGAAGAAUUGAAGGCAUGCAAAGGCUCAGCAAGUCUCAAAGCCUGUUUUAUGGCGAGACAGAAGCCAAGCGUGCCAGGAUAUGCUCGACCACGAGAAGGCGAGCAGACUCCAAAGCAUUCAAGAAAUUAUCAAAGGCAUACAAAGGCUCACCAAGUCUCAAAGCCUGUUUUAUGGCGAGACAGAAGCCAAGCGUGCCAGGAUAUGCUCGACCACGAGAAGGCGAGCAGAAUCCCAAUCCUUGAAGAAUUGAAGGCAUGCAAAGGCUCAGCAAGUCUCAAAGCAUGUUUUAUGGCGAGACAGAAGCCAAGCGUGCCAGGAUAUGCUCGACCACGAGAAGGCGAGCAGACUCCAAAGCAUUCAAGAAAUUAUCAAAGGCAUGCAAAGGCUCAGCAAGUCUCAAAGCCUGUUUUAUGGCGAGACAGAAGCCAAGCGUGCCAGGAUAUGCUCGACCACGAGAAGGCGAGCAGACUCCAAAGCAUUCAAGAAAUUAUCAAAGGCAUGCAAAGGCUCAGCAAGUCUCAAAGCCUGUUUUAUGGCGAGACAGAAGCCAAGCGUGCCAGGAUCUGCUCGACCACGAGAAGGCGAGCAGAAUCCCAAUCCUUGAAGAAUUGAAGGCAUGCAAAGGCUCAGCAAGUCUCAAAGUCUGUUUUAUGGCGAGACAGAAGCCAAGCGUGCCAGGAUCUGCUCGACCACGAGAAGGCGAGCAGAAUCCCAAUCCUUGAAGAAUUGAAGGCAUGCAAAGGCUCGAAAAAGUCUCAAAGCCUGUUUAUGGCGAGACCAGAAGCCAAGCGUGCCAGGAUCUGCUCGGCCACGAGAAGGCAAACAGAAUCCCAAGCUUUGAAGAAACUACCUAAGGCAUGCAAAGGCUCGACAAAGUCUCAAAGCCUGUUUAUGGCGAGACCAGAAGCCAAGCGUGCCAGGAUCUGCUCGGCCACGAGAAGGCGAGUAGAAUCCCAAGCUUUGAAGAAAUUACCUAAGGCAUGCAAAGGCUCGACAAAGUCUCAAAGCCUGUUUAUGGCGAGACCAGAAGCCAAGCGUGCCAGGAUCUGCUCGGCCACGAGAAGGCGAGCAGAAUCCCAAGCUUUGAAGAAAUUACCUAAGGCAUGCAAAGGCUCGACAAAGUCUCAAAGCCUGUUUAUGGCGAGACCAGAAGCCAAGCGUGCCAGGAUCUGCUCGGCCAUGAGAAGGCGAGCAGAAUCCCAAGCUUUGAAGAAAUUACCUAAGGCAUGCAAAGGCUCGACAAAGUCUCAAAGCCUGUUUAUGGCGAGACCAGAAGCCAAGCGUGCCAGGAUCUGCUCGGCCACGAGAAGGCGAGCAGAAUCCCAAAAUUUUGAAGAAAUUACCUAAGGCAUGCAAAGGCUCGACAAAGUCUCAAAGCCUGUUUAUGGCGAGACCAGAAGCCAAGCAUGCCAGGAUCUACUCGGCCACGAGAAGGCGAGCAGAAUCCCAAGCAUUGAAGAAUUUUUAAAGGCAUGUGGCAAAACCAUGUGCCAAGCCAGAACCUGCUCGACCAGACAAAGACGAGCAGAUUCUCAAACGAAAAAUAACUCAUGAUUACAACACAAGAAAGUAAUCAAAAACAUCUUUAUUAAUUUGUUAAUAAUUAACAGAGGAGAUAAUCUUCACAAACAUUGUUCAUUACAAUACAAGAAAUAUAUCAAGAAGAUGGUGGAUCAGUAAGCCGAGCAGCAUCGGUUGGCUGGACCUCCUCAGGUGCAGGGGGGUAUCACCAGUUGCGUCUGGGGGGGUGCUCGCCUCGCCAACAUCAGCAGGUACUGCACGAGGAGGAGAGUUUUCCUCCUCAAUCACGAUCGGCUCUACCCCUUCAGCGUCUUCCUUGGCCGCCUCCUCGUCCAUAUGUUGAGCAACACCAGCUGCAAGGUCAUCCAUCUUCAGAUCAGGGUGUUGCUUCCCGAGGACGGCCAUGAUGCAACGAUAAGAAUGCCGAAGUCCCUGGUCGUACUGGUUGUCAGCCUCUUUCUCUAAGUUCUCGACCUGAACCCGGUGGGAAUCACGGAGAGAUUCGAGCUGAGCCUCAUACAUAGCCUUCUGCCUUUGAAGAUCCUCCUUGACCUUGGUCAGCUCCUCCUCGAGGCCUUUUCCAGUCCCACGCGACCAAGAACCGCUAAGUUUCUACUGCUGGUCCAUUACAUUACCCAACACCAGAAACUGGGGGACCGGUGUUUAAGGGAAAUACUCCGACGAGACCAGACGUGAUAAGCAGAUGUUUGGUAGCAGAAGUCUGCGAGCAGGUGUGUCCUGUAAGAGCCAGGUAGCAGGGAAACAGGGGCAGGAAUAUCCUGCUCAUCCACGAGCACGUCAUCCGCGAGGCCAAUUUCCUGUAAGAAGCAUAAAGCCAUUCCUGCUGUAUUCUUGCUAAGGGUUGAUUCGAGGAGACCCGGUCAACGACAGUUGGCGAGGCAUGCUCUCCGGCCCGAGAAUCUAGGCACGAAGGCCACAUAACCACCCACGACUAUGGAAAUGGGGAAUCCACGUUCGAGAGGUGGGAGGAUAACGGACGUAGACUGCGGAAAAUUGGGAUUCAGAGGAAGCCUAUAAAAAGGUAGCCAACGAAGGUAAAAGGGUUAGCAAUUUUGAGAUUAGAAGAGAGAUAAAAGAAAUUCUAAAGAAGAGAAAACUACCCAAAAGCCAUAAGAUCUGUGGUAAGCGUUCCCCGAACCUUCAUAUCUGACUUGAGCGUCGGAGGGUUUGCGCCGGGAAAACAACCGGCGUACUCUGACCUGUCUGUGUGCGCAGGAACCUCUGGAGAAGAAGCUUUACGAGGAGAGAUCCUGGUCGUGGUGAAGUUGAUCGAGCAGAGACCCUGGUCGUAGAACGAGGACAACCAGAAUCUCGCAUCAACAAAGAUAAUCCAUCAAUAUUCAGUUACAUUCGAGCGUGUUGACUACUUUCAGGAUGAAAGACUUCUAUUGUCCCAAGGAGUUUAAUCCACUGACCAACAUGAGAUUCCAAAUCAAGACUUGGUUCCCUAAGUCAAUAAGUAUCGAGAGGUCACACACGCAUUUCCGUGAGACCUCGCUGAGUUUUGCGAAGUCCAUACACACAGCUGCAAACAGCGUAAGUUGAUGUAAAAUGUUUAUACAACUUUCAAAUGAAAUCAAUACAAUCAUGCAAGUGAAAUCAAUACAUGCUGAAUAGCUUACCUCAGAAUCUUCACCUACUUACGCGAGAAUGUUUAGAACCUUUGAGGAUGCAAGGCCAGUUACACUCCCCUUAUGAACAAAUUCAGUGGCAGCCUUCCUCAAACGUUUGCAAAAAGUUGUGUUUUGACAAGUCUUAACUUUAAUCGCAAUCGUUUGCAAGGACUGAUGCCUCCAUCUUUGGUUAACUGUCGGCAUUAUAAGCUGGUUUAUGUAUUGUUCAUGGAGUAGAUAACCAACUGAUAUGUUUCAUAUUCUAACUGUUGAUUUACAAAAAUCACAGCCCUGAUUAAAUUCAAAUUAUGCUUAUAAUCAGCAUCUAUAGUCUAUAGAGAGAAAGAAAAUGAGGGUCAUAUAUAAGAAAUCACUGAUAGGAUGUGUUCUCUUGAUCAGGAAUUUUAGACUUUUGGAAGCUAGUAGUGGAAGCCAAAUAUUCUCCAGGUACCAAAAUAUGUUUUGCUUUCAUUUCCAUUGCAUCAGAACGUGAUACCACACACUUACAUUUUGAUGGUUAACUUGAUCAAAAUUUUCAGGAAAAAAAAUUAUUUUUAAAAAUAAUUUUGAUGUAAGGAAAUGAUUUGGGAUGACAUUCAUUUGGUGCCAUUUAGGCCACAUUUUUUCAAUUGGGCGUAUGGUAUAUACUUUUUCAAAGCUGGUAACAAGAUGAACAAUGUUGCCCAUUUGCCUUUGACUCUGAUGUCCGUGGGGCUUUUACAAAAUUGUACCAUUUCAGGACUCUAAAUCGCAUUUGAAGUUAGUUCAGAUUCCAGCACUCCGGGAAACUUCUAAGAUUUGUACUUUACUACUUUUAUUUUCAUAACCAAUACUUCCGUUUGUAUUUUUAAUUAAUUUCAGUUUAAACCUUAACCUUCUCCCAAUUUGUUUUCGGCUUAGCAGAGCAUAUUAACAGCCUAAAUAGACGAAAUUAUAUAUAUUCAAUUAACUAAAACACUUAUUUAGCGAACAUUCAACUGAAAGAAUUUUCAACAAUAUUAGCCACUAGUUUUUUAACUUCUCAGAGAGGAAGUUGCUGCUUUCAAUAAAUUAAAGAUAGUCAUUUCACAGGCUGCUUAUUUGAAUUGGUAAACUAAGAUACGUAUUAUGCCUAACCAUUACAAACAUAGUCUAUCAAUGUUUUGGCUGUAUUAAUAGAAAUCCUCCACACUCAUGCUCUCAAACCUAGAGAGCAAUUAAUUUGUGGGACUCACAUUUUUCUGUCAAUAUAAUUAGAUAUGGGUAGAUUUUUUCUAUUAAUAUAAAUAGAGCAUAUAUCCCUAACAAAUUUACGAAAUUAUCCAUCUGACUUUUAGGAAAUUAUACCAUUUCAGGACCCAAAAUUGCAUUUGAAUUUAUUUUAAAUUACAUCCCUGAGGAAACUUCUAAGAUUUGUACUUUUAUUUUCAUAACAAAUUCUUAAGCAACUUCCGUUUGUUGCGUUUUUAAUUAAUUUCAAUUUAAUCCUUAAUCUUCUCUGAAUUUCUUUUCUUUUUUUUUUCAGCUUAGGAAAGCAUAUUAACGCCUACAUAACAGAAGCUAUGUACCAUUAUAAAUAGAGUAAUAUUAGUACAAAAUUAAUUCAAACUAGAGAAAAAUAUCACAUAUUUAUAGAGCCUUACUGUAGAAAGCUCAAUGUUGACUUAGGAGAAGGUUUAAGAUCUAUAUAGAGUAUUGAUCAAGCAAUUUCAGCAUAGAGAUUACACGCAUAAAUAGUAAACAAUUAAGAGUAAAUGGAAGGUCUAGCAACUAAUUGGAAUUUUACAAAAUUAGCGACAAAUGCACCAAUAAACUAGACUCCAGAACAAGAUUACGAGGAAAAAAGUAGAAAGUUAGAAAAAUUAGAGAUAAUAGGUAAUAAUCCAAAUAGAAAAGAUAAUAAAGAAGUAUAUAAAUUAAAAAUAAUUAACCCAAAUAUAACAACAAAAACACAAAAUUUAGUUUAUAGUUUAGAAGACUUGGUGCUCUGACUCUAAAGGUGUUCUAUUUAAUUAGAUUCCCCCCUAGUGGUGUGAUUGAAAGAGAUGGAUAGAAAAGGUUAUUUUAACUUAUGAGGUGGACUUGACUAAAGUGUUCAUUAAUGACAUGACGUUGAGAAAGAAAGACUUAUUCUCUACAUACCUCUUAAUUUGGGCAAUGCUACAUCAGUAACUUUCAACUUUUUUGAUUCUUCCCCUGGGUUUCAUUAUCAUAGCUGUGGAAAAGAAGUUGAAGUUGUUUGGAGUUUUGCAAAAUUGGCCACAAAUUCAUGGAUCAACUAGAUUCCAAAACAAUAUCAUCAGGCUCAGUAUAACAAAGGACUUGGCGCAUGCUCUAAAAGUCCAAAUGAAUUAUAAUUAAUUAGAUUAUUUCAACCUCAAUUUUAAACGUUAGUAUUGAUCAAUCUUAUAAGUAGAUUACACAUAUUAAGUUGCAGUAAACAAAUUAAGAACAACCUGCUUAACAAAUCGAAACAGAAUCAAAACAGAGGAGGGAAAAAUAUGAGUCUAGCUGGCUGUUACAUCUCUUUUUACAUAAAUAAAUAAAUAUCAAAAUUGUUAUUAAACAAAUAAUUUGAGGAACAAAGUUCAUUAUGUCUCCUCUUAGUAGAUGUAUCUUUAAUUUGUUAUUAAAAAAAUCUCUCAUAUUCAAUUAAAAAAUAAAUUCAGUCACCAAAAGAAAAAAAAAAAAAAAAAAGUUGUUAGUUUUGCGGCAGAACGGGGCUAAAAAAGAACGAAAGCUCGAAACAGAGCUCAAUUUCAAACGCCAGCAUUUUGGUGCAGCCAUUGCUCAAGAGUUGUUUUGAUUUCAUAUGCCACAAUACUUGCCUAAUUUCCAAAUAUAUCCCCUCCCUUCCAUUUAUUCACUUAUAUGACAAAUUCACCUGCAUAAAGAUUGAAAUACUCACAUUUGUGAAUUCCAAGUUGCACAAUUUUUAUUUUAUCUUCAAAAUACUUCAUAAGCACUUAUACACAACAUCGCUCACUUGCACCGCCGAGGCCUGCAGUGAUCAGUUUCGUCGUCGUCGUCAUCAUUGGCUACACUCUAAUUACUAACAUAAGCACACUUCAAUAUCAAGUUCAUUUACCUGUUCUUUACCAUCUCCAAAAUUUUCCUCUCAUUGUUAUUUCACUUUCUCACCUUCAAAAUUCGCCUGCAUAAAGAUUUCUGAUUUGGAAUUGAAAUUGUAGCUCUAUACCUCUUAACCUCUCCCAUGAGUUUCGCGGCUGCGGAAAAUGUAGAAGUACUAGUUUGAAAUUUUAUAAAUUUAUUAAAAAAAAACCACAGUCCAAUCGAUUCCAAAACUAGAUUAUAAGGCCAACCAAUAAGACUUGGUGCUCAAAGCCUAAAAGUAUUACAAAGACUUGGUGCCUCCCUUAAAUUCACUUCAUACUUGCACAUCAUUUUUCUUCUACAUUUAGUCAUAUCUGUUCUUGUGAUUUCAUUGAGAAAAAAGAUAAUAUGGACUAUUUAACUCAUCCUUUUCAACUUUUUAUCUGCCUCCGGUUAUUGCUCUAUUAUUUUCAGUUUUCUGCAAAUUAAUUAGCAACAUACCAGUAAUAUACUCUAAUUUGGACACAGCUUGCUUCUUCUAGAUAAUUAAACAUGGAAUUGGACACAGCUUCUGCUGAUUCCUUUUGGACAGGGUUUGUGGAAUAGAAAAAAAUAUUUGUUUGUUCCUUGUAAGAGGGACUUGAGUAAAGCGCUCAUUAAUUAUUAAUGUUAUUUGAGAAAGAAAGACUUGUUCCGCGUAUACCUAUUAAUUUGGGCAAUUUCACAUCAGUAGCUUUCAACUUUUUGAUCAUUCCAUAUGUUUCAUAACUGUGGAAAAGAAAUUCAAGUAGUUUGGACUUUUACAAAACAAUAUCGUGAGGCUCAGUAUAACAAAAUUAACCCGAUUUGGUGCAUGCUCUAAGUCUAAAUGAAUUAUAAUUAAUUAAGACUAUUCCUUCUGAUGCCUAACAAUUAUUUUUUUUUUUUAUAUUAAUCACGAAGUAUCCUGGGGAGGGCCCCAACUGUGGGAGGCACUUUUAAGCCCGUACCACAACCCAGACUAGAAGUCCCCGCUCGAACCGAGAGGCACAAGUUCUCCCAACAAAGGCGACUUCCCUGCGACUCGAACUGGGGAGCAAACCCAGUCAAGCCACUUAAGGGGACUCCAUCGCCAGUGGAGCCAACACUUUGUUGGUGAUGCCUAACAAUUAUAAGUAGAGUAACAAUAGUACAAAAUUAUCUCAAACUAGAGAAAAAGAUAACAUAUUAACAGAGCCUAACUGUGGAAUGCUCAAUGUUGAUUUGGGGUAAGGGUUUGAGAUCUAUAUUGAGUAUUGAUCAAGUAAUGAGAUUACCUACACAUAUAUUCUAAACAAUUAAGAGUAAAUGGAAGGUCUAACAAGUAAUUGGAAUUUUACAAAACUGACGACAAAUGAACCAAUAAACUAGACUUCAGAACAAGAUUAUGAGGAAAAAAGUAGAAAAGUUAGAAAAAUUAGAGAUAAUAGGUAAUAAUCCAAUUAGAAAAGAUAAUUAAAAAAUACAUAAAUUAGAAAUAAUUAAUUCAGACAUAACAAUAAAAACAGAAGACUUAGCUUAUAAUUUAGAAGAUAUAAAUGAAGACUUGAUUCUCUGACUCUAAAGGUGUUCUAUGUAAUUAGACUCCCUUCUAGUGGUGUGAGUAAAAGAGAUGGAUAGAAAAGUUAGGGUUUAACAGAUCGAAACAGAAUCAAAACAGAGGAGGGAAAAUGAAUUGAGUUUGUGUAUUCGACAAAUUAAGCCUACUUUUUACAUACAUUAAUUGGAUAUAGCUUCAGCUUUGGUACUGGUUUGUGAAAAUUGGAAAAACUGGAAAAUGCUCCUUUUGAAGAAUCAAAGUCUACUUUAAACAAUAAUCUCCAUCAACAUUUAAUGCUUGUUAUUGGCUUUCAACCAGCGGCCGCUUUCAGAAAGGAAGACUUCAAUUGUCGCCAAGCGUCGAAAAGUAAAUAUCUAAAUGGUUAUUAAAUUGACCACAAAUUCAUGCACCUACUAGAUUCCAAAACCAUAUCGUGAGGCUCCCAGUUUAACAAGACUUGGUGCAUGCUCUAAGCCUAAAUGAAUUAUAAUUAAUUAAGAUACUCCUCCUCAAAAAGUAGUAUUGAUGAAGCUUACAGUUAGAUUACACAUAUUAAUUUAUAGUCAACUAAUGGAAGGUCUAACAACUUAGCUUAACAAACUGUAACAGAGUCAAAACAGGGGAGGGAAGAUGAAUUGUGUUUGUGUAAAAGACUGUCAGUCUAGCAAAUAUGAUAGAUAACUAACAUCUCGCUGAACUUUAAGUAAAUAUCUAAAUGGUUAUUAAUUGGAUACAGCUUCAGCUUUUGGACUGGUUUGUGGAAAUUGAAAAUGUUUGAAAAGUGUUCCUCUUGAAGAAUCAAAGUCUACUUUAUACGUAAAGAAAGGGGAUGUCAGUAAAGAUAAUCCAUCAAUGUUCAAUUACGUUCGAGCGUGUUGACUACUUUCAGGAUGAAAGACUUCUAUUGUCCCAAGGAGUUUAAUCGAGUGAUUUGCAUCCUAACUAUUUCAUGAAGAACUCAUGUCGAUAGUUAUAGAGCAACCUUCUACAUAGAGAAAUUCUACUAAAAAUAAACAACUAUUUACUAUCAUGACAAGUGCAAAAUUAUUUUAAUCUCAAAUCAAUGCACACAAGUCAAUAUGUGAUUUACUUGUGCCGUAGUACCUAUGAUAUUAUUCUAAAAUUAAGUUGGUACAAACUAUAAUCUCACUGCUCAUAAAUAAUUUCUCUAUAUUUCCUCGUAUAUUAUUUACAUACCCCAAAAUUUUCAAUAUUUUCAUCUCAAGUCUCUUGUUACAUAUCCUUUUUUUUUUUAAUUGCAUUUCUCAAUUUAUUCAUAGUAUUUACUUUAAGAUAACUUAAUAAGUAAGUUGAUAAAUUUUUAGCAGAGAAUUUGAGAAAUUUAACAUCGUAAUGACCAUUUAAUCCAUGUGUGUGGAAUCUACGUACAUAUAUUAAUACUAUAUCAACGCACAUGGAAAAUGCGCCUUUUGAAGAAUGCAGUAAAUGGAAGGUCUAACAUCUUUCUUAACAAUCUAAAAUAGACUUCGUGCAUGCUGUAAAUUUAAAUGAAUCAUAAUUAAUUUCAAAAGGUAGUAAAUGGAAGGCCGAACAACUUUUUUAACAAACUGAAACAGAAUUAAAGCAGAGGAGGGAAAAUCAAUUGUGCUUUGUGCAUAAUGUAUAUGACUGACUGACUAACUAACUACGAGUUUAGCUGCCUGCCACAUCAGCAUUAUAUAACACAUAACUAAUAUCAUUCCGCGUCGAUCGUGUCGUCAAGAUCCCCCUCUUGAAAGGAUUCCACUUACCACCUAAAUUCCAAAGCAAGAAGACUUGGUGCUGUAACUCAAUAAAUAUUAUAUUAUUAAUUAAUUACACACCAUAUUCAACUUCUAUAAAUAAUAGUCAUUAUAUCUCUCUCUCUUCUUGUGAUUUCAUCAUCCAGAAAAGAAAAAAGAAAAAGAAAAUGGGUUAUAUCACUCAGCCUUAUCAACUUUUUAUUUGCCUCCAGUUAUUCCUCUUCUAUUCUCAGUGUUCAGCAAUACUUUGCUCUCACGACCAAAGUUCUGCUUUACUCCAAUUUAAGCAGCUCUUUUCCUUUGAAAAAGAUUUUUUUCAAUACCGUUGUGAAAUAUUUCAACAAAUAUCUCGUCCAAAGAUGAUGUCUUGGAAAGAGGACUCUGAUUGCUGCUCCUGGGAUGGCGUAACAUGUGAUUCGACGACGGGUCACGUGAUUGGCCUCGACCUCAGUUGCAGUUGGCUUCACGGCAACAUCCCUUCCAACACUAGCCAUUCCUUGCUUCCUCGCCUCCGAAAGCUCAACCUGGCUUCCAAUGAUUUCAAUUACUCUAAGAUUUCUUCUGGUUUUACUGAUCAAUUUCCAAGUUUGACACUCCUUAACCUCUCUUUCAGCAAUUUCACGGGGUCAAUUCCUGCCUCACUAGGUAACAAUAUUACACAAGUUGCUGAUUUGGAUCUCUCAUAUAAUAGUUUUACUGGUCAGAUUCCAUCAUCUUUUUCAAAUCUUCAGCAGCUUCGUCAUUUAGAUCUUCGGGGCAAUAACUUUGUUGGUGAAAUUCCUGCAUCAUUAGGUAACAACAUUACACAGCUUACUUAUUUGGAUCUCUCAUCUAAUAGUUUUAGUGGUCAGAUUCCAUCACCUUUUGCAAAUCUCCACCAGCUUCGUCAUUUAGAUCUUCGGUCCAAUAAGUUUGUUGGUAAAAUUCCUGCAUCACUAGGUAACAAUAUCACACAACUUGCUUAUUUGGAUCUCUUAUUUAACAGUUUUACGGGUCAGAUUCCAUCAUCUUUUUCAAAUCUUCAGCAACUUCAUCAUUUAGAUCUUCGGUACAAUAACUUUGUUGGCAUAAUUCCGGAUAUGUUUACCAACCUAACCCAACUUUCUUUUUUAGACUUGGCAUAUAAUGAACUGAUAGGCUCGAUUCCAAGUUCAAUCUUUGAACUUUUGAAUUUGACAUCUGUCUCUCUUUCUUUUAACAAUUUCAGUGGCAGCGUUGAGCUUUACGAUUUUGCAAAGCUCAAAAAUCUUAAAGUUCUUUAUCUUUAUAAUAUUAGUUUAUCAGUCCUAAUCUUUCGGAGUUGGAUUUAUCGGCUUGCAAUAUAAGUGAGUUUCCAGACAUCUUGAGAACUCAACAUCAGUUAGAGUCGUUGGACCUUUCUAAAAACCAAAUCCGUGGUAGGAUUCCCAGUUGGAUGUGGGAUAUCGGAGUACAUACUUUGUAUUACCUAGAUCUUUCACGAAACUUCCUGACAAGCAUAGACCAUGUUCCGUGGAAAAAUCUCGAAUAUCUUACCCUUGAUUCGAACCUACUUCAAGGAUCACUUCCAGAUCUAUCACCUCACAUGGUAGAGCUUUUAAUUUCCAACAAUAAUUUGACCGGAGAGAUUCCUUCAUCAUUUUGUAAUUUGAGUUCCAUUCAAUCUUUUGACAUAUCCAACAAUAGCUUGAGUGGACAAAUUCCACAGUGUCUUGGAAACUCUACACUUGAAAGUUUAGAUCUCGGAAUGAACAACUUCCAAGGUACCAUCCCACAGACAUAUGCAAAGGGCUGCAACUUGACUUAUCUUCGGCUGAGUGGCAAUCACUUGGAGGGACCGUUACCACCAUCCUUGAUUAACUGUGUCAAAUUGCAAUUUCUUGAUGUUGGGAAUAACAACUUGAGCGGCCCAAUUCCAGAAUAUCUUGGAAACUCAACACGUUUGUCAUUUCUUGAUGUUGGGAAUAACAACUUGAGCGGCCCAAUUCCAGAAUGUCUUGGAAACUCAACACUUGAAAUCUUAGAUAUGAGAAUGAACAAGUUUAGUGGCAGCCUCCCUCAAACAUUUGCAAAAAGUUGUGUUUUGGUAAGUCUUAACCUUAAUGGCAAUCGGUUGGAAGGACCAUUGCCUCCAUCUUUGGUUAAUUGUCGACAUUUGGAAGUUAUAGAUGUUGGGAACAAUCAGAUUAAUGAGACCUUUCCCCACUGGUUAGACGUUCUUCCCGAAUUGCAAGUACUUACAUUGCGUUCUAAUAGAUUUCGUGGUCCCAUUGGUGAUACCAAAACAAGAGUUCCUUUCCCCAAGUUGCGAAUAAUUGAUCUCUCUUACAAUCGAUUCACCGGUGUUUUGCCAAUAUGGUAUCUGAAUGGUUUUAAAGCCAUGAUGCACGGGGAUGACAAUAGUAUUGAAUUAUUCUUACUAU
rnacentral:lncRNA from 1 species